rnacentral:lncRNA from 1 species
UGCCUCCAACCUUUUGUCUUGAAAUGCUUGUGGAGCUUUCCUUGACUGGAAGCCUUGUGGAAAAACUUUGGAAUGGAGUCCUGGUAAGCCUGAUCCAUGUAUAUAUUUUAAUGUUUUUAUUUUAUUUUUAUAACAGUUUCAUUGAAAUGCAUUUAGACUUUUAAUUUAAGAAAAUGUACUAAUUUUCUGAUGAAUUGUAUUUUGUUACAGAAUGUGCCCAAUUUAGAGAAAAUUGACCUGAGUGGUUCCACAAAACUGAUAGAGUGUCCAAAUGUGUCUGGUUCUCCGAAUCUAAAAUAUGUACUACUUGAUGAAUGUGAAAGCAUGCCUGAAGUUGAUUCAUCAAUUUUCCAUCUCCAAAAGCUUGAAGUUUUAAACGUGUCUGGGUGUACGUCGCUUAAGAGCAUUUCCAGUAACACUUGUUCACCAGCCCUCCGUCAAUUGAGUGCGAUUAAUUGCUUCAAUCUCAAAGAUCUCUCAGUCCCAUUUGAUUACCUUGAUGGUUUAGGUUUGAGUUUAACAGGAUGGGAUGGGAAUGAACUUCCAUCAUCAUUAUUGCAUGCAAAAAAUCUUGGAAACUUUUUCUUUCCAAUCAGUGAUUGUCUUGUGAAUCUUACUGAAAACUUUGUAGAUCGUAUUUGUCUUGUGAAACAACGGAAUUGUCAACAAGACCCUUUCAUCACCUUGGAUAAAAUGUUUACUAGUCCUGGCUUCCAGAGUGUAAAAAACUUGGUCUUUGUUGAUAUUCCUAUGUUGUCUGAAAUCCCAGACAGCAUCUCCUUACUGUCGUCAUUAGAGAGUUUAAUACUAUUUGAUAUGGCCAUUAAAAGCUUACCUGAAACCGUUAAGUAUCUUCCCCAACUCAAAUUCGUUGAUAUUCAUGAUUGUAAAUUGCUUCAAUCUAUUCCGGCACUUUCACAGUUCAUUCAAAUUUUGGUUGUCUGGAAUUGUGAAUCUCUUGAGGAAGUGUUGAGUUCAACGCGUGAACCAUAUGAUGAACCUAACGUUUGUUUUAUCUCGCUCCUUAACUGCAAAAACAUGGAUUCACAUUCAUACCAAACAGUUUUGAAAGAUGCUAUGGAUGGGAUUGAACUUGUAAAUAUGCGGAUAAUUAUUAAGUUUUUCCAUGUGGAUAAUGAAGAUGUCAAAAGACACCUAUUAUCUGACCGGGCUUCUUAAGUUUUAUCCAUGUGGAUAAUGAGGAUCUCAAAAGGCACCCAUUAUCUGACAGGACUUAUUACCAUAUUUGAUCAUUGCAUUGAGAUUACCGUUUGCAGUUAAUUCUUAGCAGUCAAAAGAUUAUGUUUUAAUGGUGCUUUGGUAUCUUGUUUUUGGGUCUUUUAAUUUACAACUUGUGAUGAUAAAUAUGUGGUAAUUCUUAAAUUUUUCAUGUGGGUAAUGAGGAUAUCAUAAGGCACCCAUUAUCUGACAAGAUAUAUUAAGUUUUUCAAUGUGGGUAAUGAGGAUGUCAAAAGUCAUCCAUUAUCUGACAGGACUUAUUACCAAUAUUUGAUCAUUGCACUGAGAGUACCGCUUGCAAUUAAUUCUUAGCAGUCAAAAGACUGUGUUUUAAUGGUGCGCUUGGUAUCUUGUUUAUGUCUUUUAAUUUACAAAUAAAGAUAAAUUGUGCAUGUCUUAUAAUUAAUUAAUUUUGACAUGUCUGCUAAAGUUGUGUGAAUGUAAACUCAUUCUAGUAUUUAAGAGUUUACAUCCACACAUGUGAUUGUAAACAUAUGACAAUUAUAAGAAGUUAAUCUUUGUCAAAGUAAAUUGUCAUUGUUUGAUCAAUGCUGUAAAAUACCGCUAGCAAUUCAUAUUAUUGUUUAAAGAUUUGAUAUUGAUAGCGCACUAGGUAUUUUGGUGAGUACAUUUGGCUACUCUUGUUCUCUUUAAGCUAAUAUAGUUUGGGUAUCUGCUAAGAUGACAAAUUUUUUUUUGUCAUAUUUCCUUUGCUUAAACUAAGGUGCUUUUGAAGCAAUACAGAGAAAGACAAGCUCUCAUUGGAGAGUUAGUAUUCUAUUAAGAUUAUUAGGCAAAGAAAAUAUUAUGAGCACAUUAUGUAAAUAUUUAAUCUUGUUCGCACACUAUAAUUUCGACUAUCAGGUUACUUGUUCGAAAAUUCAACAUUUAAUAUUCUAUUUGCACAAUUAAGUUUAUAACUAUUAUAGUUAGAAAUGAUCUUUUGAAGGAUCAAUUCAUAAAGUGUGCAAAUACAGAAAAGCUGAAGCAAGAGAAAAUAAAAUAGUGCUCAUUCAUAAAAUACCUCAAAAGAUAAGGGCAAAUAACGAAAGGUAGUCUUUGUAACGCCCUCUUUGAAUUAUUUGAUUUAUUUAAUUAUUUAAUUGAGUCUAAAAUUUAUUAAGAAGAGUUUAAAAUAUAUUUAUUUGAUUAUGUGAUUUAUUAAGUGGCUUAUGUUGUUAUUUAAUAGAAUAAGAUUUGAAAAUAGAAAUAAGAUUGAGUUGAGAGUUUGUUAUGAGAUUUUAGAGAGAUUUGGGGGAGAAAGAGAAAUAAGAUAAAAAAGAAAAAGGGUUAUAAAUAGGAGAAACCUUGUUUAGAAAAAACACAACGUACGAUCAAUUUUGGAGAAAAGGGAGAAAAAGCCGAGAGGAGGGGGAAGACCUAGGAGUGCUGCGAUUUUCAUCUAUAAGGUAAGGGUGGGACUAACAUUCAAUAAUCUUAAGUCAUUGAUUCUGAAAAUUGGAUUUAACAUGUUGUAGGUUUUAGUUUUUGAGAAUUUGGGAAUUAGGGUUAAAAGUGAUUAUUUGAUGAUUUUCUAAAAUAAUGUUUUGGGUCAAGUUUUAUAUGGUUUUGAGUCUCUUUUGAUGUAUAUAAAUGUUUAGACAAACUUUGGGAUCAAAUUUGGGCAUAGGGAAGUUAAAAUUGGGAUUUUGGGGUGAAAAGUGUGUUUUUCCCGAGUUGCUCUCUGACAGCAUGUCCUGUUUCAUGUUCUUGCGUCUUUUUCACACGUUUCUGUUUUGAAUUAGCCUUUGGUGUAAACAUGAAAGUUGUAGAUAAUUGUGUUAGCUUUACAGUGGCGUCGGUUUGACUUGAAAAUGAUUUUUGGUUUAUGAGUUAUGGUCAAAUUACUGCACGUAGGUCACAGUGAAUUUUUAUGAAUUUCAGCACAACUUUGUCCGAAUUUGAAAUGAAAACUGGUAUUGAUUGGUACAGAAUUGGUCUUAGGUGUAAACACGAAAGUUGUAGGUAUAAAUGUUAGCUUUCUAAUGCCGUUGGUUUGACUUCAAAAGGAUUUAUAGAACUUGAGUUAUAGUCAAAUUACUGCACGUAGGUCACAGUGAAUAAUUGAAUAUGAUUGAUGAAUUAGUAUAUGAAUGUAUAUGUUGUGAAUACGAUAUUGUCCAUGAUUGAUGAAGUGUUAUAUGUAUAUAUGAUGUUUUAAGAUGUUGAUUAUUAUUUGAUGUUGUUAUAUUGUGAUAUAAUUGUAUAUGCAUUACUUGAAUUAUAUGUGAAUAAUUGAGACGUUGUUGACUUGCAUUUGAUAUUAUUAUGUCAUGCUGUUUUUGUAUACUGCUGUGUUGCUGUUGUUAUUUAACUAAGCUGCAUGAGUCGGUCUAAGUUGAUUAAGAUGAUGAGGUUCCAAAUUAUUGGAUUAUAUAAGAGGUUGUCGAUUUAAGAUGUUUAAGAAGUCGAGUCCAUGCAUUAGCAUUUCAGCGAUAGGGGCUUGAUGCUCUGGAGUAUAUUAAUACUCAAAUAGCGAUAGGGGCUUGAUGCUCUGGAGUAUAUUAAUACUCAAAUAGCGAUGGGGGCUUGAUGCUCUGUAUUGGUACCACAUGCAUAUAAGAGGUCUAAGUUGCAUAGUCGAGUUGGAGUCGCAUUUGUCGAGUCAAAAGUGUUAAGUUGUCAAGUUGUUUAAGCUGUGAUUCUUUAUUUGAACUAUUAAUGAUGUGAUAUAUGAUAUAUUAUUAUCUAUGAUGAAUAUUAUGAUGUUUUCAUGUUGUUAAAUAUAAUUAUUGAAUUAUAUGUUUAAUAUUAUUGUUUUGUGAAAUCUCACCCCUUCUAAAUGUUGCCCACCAUGGGUAACUUGCAGGUAACCAAGAAUAGUUGAUGUCGUGUGAGGUUUCCCUCUCGUGUGUCUUAUGUGCUCUGAUACGUAACGGGAUGAGAUUUUGUUGUGGCUAUUUUCUAUUCCUUUACGUAUUGCUUAUGUUUUUACAUGACUAUGAUUUAAUUUGGAUUUUUAAGAGAUGUUUUAACGAGGCCUUCGUGCCAAAGACUAUUUUAGAUGUUGAAUAAAUUCCACUGCGAAGUAUUAAAUAUUAUGUUAUUGAUUUAUGAAGGAUAAAUAGUUAUUUAUUCCAUUUACGAUUUUUGAAAAGAAGUGUGACAUUCCAUUUAUGUUGAGAACUCUGAUUAUUUAAAUGAAAUUUUUACGUUGGGAAAACGGGGUGUUACAGUCUUGACUGACUUUUAUCUAAUGAUAUUGAAAGAUAUAUCAAUUUAGAAUGGACAAAGUCGCUGUAACCUUAUUGAAAGAACUAUUAACUCAUAGGAAAGCUGCCGCCGCUGUAACCUUGUGAAUAUGGAGCGAUUCUCGUUUUUCUGAAACCUGCUUCAGUAAAACAUCGAUUUCUCAGUCGUUAACCGUCGGAUCGGGCUGAUUUUUGGACAUCAGGUUCGCAACACCUGGGUCUACGUUUUCACCGUUCGGAUCGUCGAAACAAGGUCUGAGUCAAGAGAAAACUGUCUCGCACUGAAGCAGUAUAUUUGGGGUUCCGGCAAUCAACACCCAGUGCAAUUGAGUUUCGGCGUUUGGGCUUUUCACGGCAUAGGAUUUUCACGACACAGUGCAGGUAUUCUUGUUUUCCAUAUUUGCAUUGUGUUUCCUCUGCUGUGUUUCGGUUUCUCUCUGCUGUGUUACUGGUAUUCUCAAUUUCACGAUUGUACAGCUAUCGCCAUACCGCUACUUGUUCCUCGUAGUUCACUGACACUGAUUCUUCAAUUUGAGAUCGCGCAGCCGCGCUAAUGCUCUGUUGCGUUACAAAGGCUGACCCACGCGUGUCCCAUAAUUAGAAUUGGUUUUGGUGCAUUGCAGCUUGGCCAUUGAUGGCAUACACGUGCUCCUGGCCGUGUGUGUCCGACACCGUAACUGUACCUACAGUCACUACAAUUAUGCAACAACCAUCUUCUUCAGCAAAUGUGCAGCAGAAUAUGACAUUUGCAGCAGCCCUAGCGGGACAGAAAGUUGUUGACGACAGUCCGUUCCCUACUCCAUGUAUCAAGGGUGAUGCUUUGAGCAUUAAAAUAUGUCAGGAAGAGUAUCAUAGGGGACUAGAGGAUUGCAAGAAUGUGUUGAGGGCACGUUUGACCCUUAACAAAGGAGACAAACCAUAUUUUGCACGUGAUCUAAGCAACAAAAUUGGCAAGGUAUGGAAAACAUCGGCAGGAUGGAAAAUGGUGCCUCUAGGCAAAGGCUAUUAUGACUUUCACUUUGACUCGGCAGAUGACCUUAGAAAAAUAUGGGCAGCAGGCACGGUGAACCUCAAGCCAGGUUUGUUAAGGUUUUCACAAUGGACCAAAGACUUCAAAUAUCUUGCUCAGAAACAGACUCAUGUUUCACUUUGGAUUCGAUUGGUGGAGUUACCGCAGGAAUAUUGGCGGGAGAGAAUUUUGAAGGAAAUAGCAAGAGCGGUAGGUACACCGAUUGACAUUGAUGGACCGACGCGAAAUCGUACCUUUGGACAUUAUGCAAGAAUUUUAGUGGACAUUGAUCUUUCAAAAAGAACUUUUGAUGAAAUUCUUGUUGAGAGAGAUGACUUUGCUUUCAAAGUUGAGGUCCAAUAUGAACGGAGACCGUUGUUUUGUCAUCACUGCUUCGCUAUUGGGCACGAUGUCUCUACUUGUCGUUGGUUACAUCCGCAAGCACCUAAGGACAAGAUUGAUCGAGGGAAACAGAUUGUUGUAGCCGAGGUAGCACCCCCUAAGCCUACUCGGCAGAACAACAACAACAAGGAUGUGGGUGCUUCAACGUCGGCCUUUGGUAGCACUUGGACACGGGUUCCGGUUCCGGUUGCUUCGACUGUUACUACCACUCAGAGGGUUCCGGUCUCUGAUAUUUCUACACCUACACCUACAUCAUUGGCACCAGCUUCACUAGCCAUUCCGGCUUCAUUUCCUGCCCCUACUUUAACCUUUAAUUCACAGAUGGGGCCGGUUGUUACUUCUACAGUGGCUAGUUCUCAGAUGGACAUGUCUUUGUCGUCCAAUUCUUUCAGCUUUCCAUUACACAAUGUGUUUGAUAAAAUUUCUCCUGGAGAGUUGCCACAUACUAUGUCAGUGUUAGAAGUUGUUUCCUAUGUUGCGCAUGUUGAUGUGCAUUCUGAGACAGUAGAGAAGUUACAUAUGACAUCUAGGGAGGUGUUGGAGAACCCCACGAUGGAUGAUGUCUCUGGUUUGCUUUCAGAUGAGGUGGAUCACAAUCGUUCGAGCCCGAGGGAGCUGGAAGAGAGUCCCAAAGGUUCUCACGAGAGUGAGCACAAUCUUUCGAGCCUGAGGGAGCUGGAGGAGAGUCCCAAAGUUCCCAUUGAGAGUGCACCACAUUCAUCACAUGUUGUUGAGCAUCAAGAGGUGCAUGAAGGGUCUAUAGAAUCGGUGCAGGUUCAGACGGAUACUGUUGUUGAGCACGAUGACGUGUAUGCUGGAUCACAUGCCUUGAAAUCACAUGUGGUUGUCGAACCACCCAGUGUUGUUAGUGGAAGUAUGCCCACGGAAAAGGAACAAGAUGUGGUUAUUUUGCAAAAGCAAGAGGUUCAUCCUAGCAAGAAUAUCCAGCAUGGUUUAGAUUUGUGGGCAAGAGUCCGAGAAUAUGAUGAAAGAUCAGCAGCUGAAGACUUCAUGCAUGUUCUAACAAGAAAACAGAAACAAAAACUCAAGGUACAACAAGUCUUAGCAAAGCAGCCUAAUAAAUCCCGUACCCGGGGUGACAAUCAUUCGAGUGAUCAAUGAAUUUCCUGUAUUGGAAUGUUAGAGAUUUUGCUUUCGUUGGCAUAAUGCUUGGCUACUUGGAAUUCAGGUAAUUUCCUCUCAUAUUUUUCGUGAAGGAAACAGUUGCGCAGAUAAGUUGGCAUAUUUGGGUCAUGACAUAGCUGGUGUCGUUUGGUUAGACACUCUUCCUACGAGUGCGAGUCUUGAAUUCUUUAGGGAUAGAUGUGGACUUCCGAAUUAUAGAUGCUCUUGAUUUGUUUUUGGAGGUCUAUUGUUUCUGUUAUUUUCUCUGUUUUCUUUUUGCUGUUUUAUUUUGAGGGUUUUGGCCUAGUCCCCCCUCUUUUUGUAAUUAUUUUUCCCCCUUUUUUAAUAAAUUAUUUCGAGUGUGGCAGCAGAGGAUGGAGGUGUCUCGAGGUGCCAACCUAGUUGGGAUGUCGAUGAUGCCGCUUGAUGUUUGUCCACUCUCCUUGCUUAUAAAAAAAAAAAUGGACAAAGUCGAAAAGACAAUUUAGAUUGUCGUUACUAGCUUAUUUUUGUAUUUAAAAGACAAUUUGGUGAAUCAUUAUUUGAAUGAAUUUUUGUUUUAAUUUCUCUUUGAAUAAAUGAAGAUGUUUUGAGUUUUAUUUACAAAUGAUGAUUCAAUGUGUCUUUUAAAUUCAAUUAUUAGAGUCAAUUCAGUUAUGACUUGUGACAUUCUAUAUUGUUUAAGGUUUUGAAUACUAUAAGUUUUUCAUCCCACAAAUUAAGAAAUUUUUUGAGACAUAAAUUGUUAAGCUUUCUUGAGGAUAUUGAGUUUGGAGGAGAGAUAUGGUAAUAGAACAAAAUUGAAUGAGGAAGAAUUUAGUUCUAAACUAAUUCAUAUAGUUACUAUUAUAGUAUUUUUGGAUCCUCAUGAGGACAUUAUUGUUCUUCCUCUCAAUCAAGUUAAAUUAAUUCAUAUAGUUCAAACUCAACACCCUCAAGAACUAGGGCUUCUAGUGUCAUAAAGAAUUGACUUGAAAGAGAAAUUAUAUUUAGUGUAAUUGAAAGACUCUAUUAGGACAGUCAUAACACUAGUUUACUUGUUAUAGUUUUGAAGCUACAUAAGAUGGAUGUCAAUGCAUUGUUUCUCAAUGGUGACAUUAAUGAUUCAAUAUGGUGCAACUUAAGAAAACUCUUGUGUCAAUAGAUACAAAGUAGAUGUUUUGCAAAAUCAUGAAAUCCACUUAUGAGUUAAGAAAUUUGUCUCUUUAUUGUUACUACAUAUUCUCAUAAAGUAAUUAUCUCAUUUGAUUUUGAGAAAUUUAGCAAAUUAUGUGGGAGAAAGUUUAUAUUCAUAGUUUAAUAUGUCAAUUUUAUUUUAUUUAGUCAACCAUGAUAUAUGUUUGUUAUGUGAAACCAAGGAAAUCUCUAACGAAAGUUAGUGAUGAAAGAUCUUGGGGACACCUCUUUUGUAUUAUGCAUUUAAUACUUAGAGAUUCUUCUCAAGGUAUUAUUCAGACAUCACAAAAGAGUUAUAUCAAUAAAGUUCAAAAUAAAAUGACACAAUUUUUGGAUGACCUCAAUCAUCGAGUGAGACUUUCUAGUCUCAAAUAUUGUCCAUUAGAAAAUUAAUGAAUUCAGAUAUUUAAGUAUUUUCCUACACUUUUCCUAUGGGAUUUUUAUGUAUGAUUUUAUUAUACGCAUUUGGAAAUAGCGUAUUAAUAAGAUUGUUUGGCAGAUAUUUGAGUAAUUCAAAGUUUGAAUUGUUGAAAAAGCAACCAUAAGGAUUAUUAAAGAGAACAAGAGAGCUUAUGCUCACAUCAGAGAUCUGACAAUUUGGAGAUCAUUUGUGUGUCACUCUGUCUUUUGGAUGUAAGUAGAUAAUACACAUUCUAACUCAUGAAAUGGCUGUAAGUAUUUAUGUCACUUGGUUGCAUAUUGUUAAAGGUACUGAAAGACCACUCAAGUUAUAUAGUGACAUAAUUCAGUCUUAUAGUUAUUCAACAACCUUUAUAAAGUUUAUUGCCUUAUAGAUUAUUGUUGUUGAAUGAUAGAACAUGUAGAGACAAACUUUAUGAUAGCUAUACCACUAAUCGAAGACAUGACACCUAAGGUCUUUCAUAUGGUUGUUGUCAUUAAGGAUUUCGGGGAUUAGUGGGAGUCUCUUUUAUUUAAUGUUCUAUACUUUUGUUUUGAUAUCGAUACAGACUAUAUGUUAUGAUUUUCUGCAGAAAUAAAGUUUAUGAGGUUAUUUUUGUUAUAACCAUUUCUGUAUCAUUUUGUGCAAAUAUUGAAUUUGCAAACUUCAUUUUGAUCUCACUAAAGUUUUCAGUUGGAUCAGUUGGAAAUAGACAUGAUUUAGAUAUCACAUUGCAUGUAAUUUCCAUGUCACUCAUCCAUAUCGAUCUAUGUCAUCAAGUGCAUUGAUAUGGUGCCGUCGGGGUUCCGUCACGUUAUAUGUAACGCCCUAAUCGUUGUGUUAUUUAUUUUUUAUUUAUGUGGAGUCUAAUAUAUGAUUUUUGGUGAUUUAUGUGGUGUGUUUAUUUUAUAAUAUAGUUUAUUUUAAUAAUAAUUAGAAUAAGUGAGAAAUAAUAAUUAUUUUGGAGUUUGGGGAGUUACUUAAUAUUUAAUAGAAUUAAAGGGAGUUAAAUGAAAUGAAGGGAGUUAAGUAAGUAGGAAGUUAGGAAAAUAGAAGUUAGAAAACAUUGUACGUGAAAACCAACUUUUGGGAGAAAUGGGAGAGAAGAGCAAGUUAGGCCAAGAACUGAUUUUUGCUGUGCAUUUUCAGCAAUUUCUAAGGUAAGGGUGAGAUUUACUUCAGUAGUAUAGAUGCUAAUUCUGAUUUUGAAGUUUGACAGGUUUUAUGUUGGAAUUGGGAAUUUAUGUUCUUGGUGAAUUAUUGGGUUUUGAGUGUGAGGAUUGUUGUCCUGAGGUUAGAAAUAGGUUCUGAAUGCAUAUAGCAAGUUAAUUCACAUCUGUAAACUAAUUUGGGGAGUGAUUUGAAGAAAAAUGGGAUUUUGGGGAAAAACCUGUUUUCUGCCCGUACAGAAGUUCAUCGCUCGCCUCGCGAAUGGCCUUUCUCGCCAUGGCAAGUGAGCAACUUCAUAGCUCGCCUCGCGAGCAGACCAACUCGCUGUGGCGAGUAACCCAGAUCAAAACUGGAUUUUUUAAAUUGUUGUUAUAAGAUGUUUAGGGGAUAGUUUAAUGUACCUAAAUGAUUUUAAUGAUGACUUGAGCAAGUUUUAGGUUAAAAAGAUGAAUAGGGAGCUUAGAAUUGAAGUUUGAGUGAGAAAAAUAUCAAAACUACCGAGAGCACCUACUUUUCACUCGCCUCGAGUUCGCCUUGAACUCGCCAUGGCGAGAAAACAGUUUUGUGAACUCGCCAUAGCGAGCAGAUGUGCUCGCGAGGCGAGCUACCCAGUUUUUUAGUGCUGAAUUACGUACAUGAAUGGUAGUGCUUGGUGUUGUUGUUUGAGCAUAGUUAUAUUUAAUUAUGCAUUAUUCUAGAUUGCUGGAUUACUGAUUAUUGAUGUUGUUGAUGGCUGAGAAGUAUGAUUUAUUUAUUGAACCAUACAUGUUGUAUAAUUUGGAGUCAUAUGGAGAAUGUAUGCAUGGUCUAGUUGUAUGUAGAUAUACACGAGUAGGUCCAUUGCAUAUGCAUAAACAGCGGAGAGGACUCAUGUCCUGGAGCACUAGUUGUUCACAGCGGUGAGGGCUUCGGUCCUGAUGAAUGCUUUAAUCAUUCAAAAGCGGUGAGGGCUUCGGUCCUGUUUGGUACCACAUGCAUAAUUGCAUUUAUUGAGGGGUCUUAGUGGUGUCGUCAUGUCAUGCAUGAGUCUUUAUUGUUGGCUGUGGUUGUUAUAUUGAUGAUGAUGAUGAUGUUGUUUGAUGAGUAUACAUUUAUACAUAUAUUAUGAUGGAUUGAUUUGAUGGUGAUACAGUUGUUGCUUGUAAAUUAUGUAAUUACAGUUGCAAGAUGAUUUGAUGUUUUAGGGUGUUAGAUUCAAUUGAAGAUUUUAAUAUCUAUAUUUUAUUGUUGUGAAUCUCACCCCUUCUGCUUGAAAAUGUUGCUCUUCCUAUGGGUAACUUGCAGGUGAUCCUGAGUAGUCGGUGGUGGCUCAAGUGUCGUGUCUAAGGCUCUGAUACGUGGGAUGGGAAAUAUUCUUGUUAUUGUUUUCUUUCCUAUGUAUCUUAUUUUAGAACUUGAUGUUGUGGCCCUAUGAUGGAUGAAUUAUGUUGUUAAGGCUUUAUGCCAAGAUAUUGUUUUGGAGAAUUUAACCGUUGUUGUUGUUGCUAUUUAAAAUGCAAAUAUUCCGUUGCAUAAUUUUUGAAGUUAUGAAAGAUGUUGAAUUAAAUAGUUUCAUUUUCUAUUUAAAAAAUUUUAAAAUGUAGUGUAGCAUGCCCGUUUGGUGAAUUACUCUGAUGAAUAUUUUAUAUUUAAUUACUUUUGGGUAACGGGGUGUUACAUUAUAAGUCAGUGACGACAGCCGCGGUGGUCCCAUUAUUAAUGUAUGAGGUGGACCAGAUUGUAAAGUUGAAAUCUAAAGAUAAAUAGCAUUCAGUUGCGCGCCUAAAGAAUUUUGAUAUAAUUAUUAAGAUAUGUAGCCCAAGUGGGAGAUUGUUGGAAUAUUUUAUUAUUUAUUAUAUACCAAUAUCAUUAUGUGGGAAAAUAUCGUAAUAAUAAUUAUAUUAGUUAUUUAUCAAUUGUGAGUCUUAGUUGAUUAGUGAUCAAAUUAAGUAAUAAGGCUAUUAGAUUUCUAAUUGGAUAAUUAAUUGAAUAUUUAAUUAGUUGAUAUGGGCUCAAUGAGUGGAUGUUCGGAUGUCCCAUUAACGAAAUAAUGGGAAAAAAAGAGGCUAUGGUCCCCAAUACACCGUACACGGCAAACUCUCUCUUCUCCCCAUCUGAAGAGAACUUGAGGCAUAAACGUACCGGUUGAGGAAGAACCAAAUCAGCCGCCGCUAAAACUAUUGUGUGUUUCAGAUCAUCUUCUCUCUUUGGUUAUCGUCGUUGAUUAGAGGGCUGCUAUGAAAGCUUUAUCCAGGUAUUCCUAAUACCCUAAUUCUUAAUAUCCUUGAUAAAUCAAACAUGUCGUAGAUCCGAUCAUAAUCAUGUUCAAUGUUUUGUUUGCUUCCGCUAUUGAUUCAUAGUUAAACAUGUUUUAUGAAAUCUGUUUUUAUUAAGACCUAAAUUUCCAACACUCAUGCAUAUUGGAUUUGGUGGAGAGCACAUGAUCACUUUGUUUUGUUUAAGAGAAGAAAAAAGCAACAGCUGAAGAGGUGAGAAAAAAAAAGUGGAAUGAAUGAAUUUUUUUUAACUUUUAACUCAGUGGAAACUGGUUUUCAAACUAGUAAGUGGUUUGUGAGUUUUCUUGUACUUCUAGCAUCAUCAAUCUCAAAUUAAUUCUUGUAUUGAGAAUUUUAGGUAGUUCCACAAGUGUUAGAGAUAGAUCAUUAUUAGAUUAUGAUAUAGGGAUUAACGUUCGGAGGAUUCGAAUGUCUUAACCAUACUUCUCUCUAAUAUUUAUUAUUUGAAUUAGGAGUGCAAAUUAUCAUAGGAGAAAUUCGGAGGAUUCGAAUGUCUUAACCAUACUUCUCUCUAAUAUUCUUAAAACCAACUUUUAUUGUUUUUAAUUUGUUUAUGUUAAAAACCAACUCAACUGCCUAGGGCAACCAUUGAAUUUAACAUAUCCUUUUUGAUAAAGAAAUUGCUAAGUUGUAGUUAACAACGGUCCUCGUGGAACGAAUUAUUUACUACUUCGAUAGCUUUGGUUCACUUGCCAAAAAUCUAUCAAGUUUAGUUUUCCUUGUGUCUAAACUACUCAAGGAAUUUUAGGUAGUUCCACAAGUGCACACCUUAACCUCUUCAGCCAUUCGAAGAUCCUUGCAAUCCAACUACGCUAGGAAUUUCAUGUAGUUCUACAAACCUCUUCAAUACAGGACAUCUCUCGCUUCCUUGAAGAUCUACUUGUGCCCAAUCACCCUUUUGUUGUUUUAACACCGCUUCCACCUUUACCUUCCAUAACCCAAAAUCGUUAUCUCCGGUAAACUUCUCAAUAUCCCACUUAGAACCCAUGGUACUUAAUUAACCUUUGACCCUUGCCCCACGGUGGGCGCCAAUUGUUGUGAAUUCGAUGAGAAAACACACCAAUAACAAACUUGAUGUAUGGAGCAAGUGAUAAUCAGGAAACCAAAACAAAGUGUAUGGAACAAUUAUAAACACAAGUCAAAAGUAGAAAACAGCGAGAGAGAAAAGAAGAGAGAACACAAAAGAAUUUGUUGACCCAGUUCGGUCCAAAUUGACCUAGUCUGGGGGAGAGAGCAGCCAUCUGUUUCACUAUAAUGAUGAGUAACCUUACAAAAGACAUAUUAAUGGGUUACAAGAAUAAGUCUCCCGCCUAAUUCUACCCAAAGUCCCAAUCUCUUCCCGUAACCAAGAGACUCAAUCUUAAUAGUGUUUCCCAAGGUGAAUCAACCCUCAAACCCCAAUGUUUGCUCCCAAGAGACAAACUCUAUACAAACCCUAGUUUUUUUGUUGCCUUUCUAAACCCUUGUUUCAGCCCCCUCUAUCUCAAGGUUUACACUGAUACAAUGUCUAUAUUUAUAGUAAAAGUAUCACUCAUAAAUUGGAACAAAAUCUCAGCCCAAAAAUAUGUUUCUGUUAUAUUUUCUGCUGGAAAAUUCGGGCCCCGAAUUCCUCCAUUCGGCCACAGAUUUUUGCCGAACCAACAAACAAAAAACAGCACUCAAAUUCGGGCCCCAGACAAAUCCAUUCGGGCUCCGAUUUUGACAGAUUCAGCAAACUUCAAUUUCUCCAAAUAUCUCUUUUGUAAGGUUACUCAUCAUUAUAGUAAAACGGAUGGCUGCUCUCUCUAUCUCAAGGUUUACCCUGAUACAAUGUCUAUAUUUAUAGCAAAAGUAACUCCCAUAAAAUUGUAGCAAAUCUGGCCCAAAAAAUAUGUUUAUGAAAAAAAAACUGCACGCAAAAUCGGGCCCCAAAUUUACCAAAUCGGGCGCCGAUUUUUCACGAAUCAGAAGCCUCCAUAGACAGUCAAAAUCGGGCGCCGAUUUUGGGUCUUCAAUCAAUCCAAUUUUGAGUCACUUCUACAGCAAGGUUGUAUACUAUAUGAAUGAUGAAUUGGAGGUGUCUGAAGAGUACAACGACGAUAUUGGUGAUGUUUAUUAUAUUGGUGGAGAAACUUGAGAAGUUUAAAAUAAUUAUGGCGAUGAUAUUGGUGAUGUUUAAUAUUAUAUGGUGAUGUAUGUAACACCCCGUUGACCCAAAUUCUCAAAUCAGGAACAACUACAUGUUAAAUCCAAUUUAAGAAUUAUAUAAUCUGAAAUUAAUGAAAGGUAAUCACACCCUUACCUUAAAUUGAUGAAUCAAACUCUACCAAAAAUCUGAUUCUCUUCACUUGGCUCUUCUCCUAACUUUCUCUUGGUUUUUUUCCCAAAAACUGUUUGUACGUGAAACUGUUUCUCAAUUUUUCCUAACUCCUAAACUUAACUCCCUUUUAUUUUUUUAACUCCCACUUAAUUCACUUAAUUCUCAUUUAUUCUAUUAAAUAAUAAAAAUAAUCAUUUAAUAAAAUAUACCACACCAUAAAAAUCAACAUAAAUCAUUUAAAAUUAUAUAAAAGACUUUAAAUCAACCAAAAAUAAUUAAAUAACAAUUAGGACGUUACAAUGUAAACGAUGAUUUUUAAUUAUGGUGAUGUUCUUGUUUAUGUCGUGAUGUUGUGCAUAAUAGUCUUGCAUUAAUAGAUGAUGAUACGUUGAUGAAUACUUAUUUGACGAGUCAGUCUCAUGCAAGCAUACUAGAAUUGAGUCUAGAGAAAACGGUGAUGAAUUGGUGUUGAAAAGUCCAGUAAUAUAUGUCUGGCAAUUUGGUGUUGAAAAGUCCAGUAACAUAUCUCUGGCAAUUUGGUGUUGAAAAGUUUAGUAACAUAUUGAUGACAGUCUCUCAUUCCACAUUUUUAGAGUCUUUUUAUGAUAUUUUUUAGUUCACAAGCAAGCUUAAGCAACAAGAAAAGCAAGAAAAAUAUAAGAUUUUGAAGAAAGCAAAAUCGUAUCACGAUUGUUGAAAACGUGUCACGAUUUGGAACACAGGAUGAGGUUCACUCAACAUUGGCUAAAACGUGACACGAUAGCUAUUGUGGCAAGAAUGUCACAAUAUGGAAGGUGUGAAAAGAAGAAACAACUGGGCUUUAUUUAUCAUGGGUCAAUGUAAUAAAAAAAAGAGGAAAUAUGUGGCUUGAUCAAAAAGAAACGUAACAUGUUGAUUGGAAUUGAGAAACUAGGUUACAAUAAGGUUAUAAAAACACGUUUUUGGUACAGGAAUACGUUUUUGGUGCUAACGGUUUUGGAGAGCAAAAACAACACGCAGCACGAGAGAGAGGAAGGCACAUGAAAUAACAUCAACAGUAGCUAUUGAAAAGAAAUUGCGGAGUAAAACUGGCAACGACGGAAUUCUAUCGGUUUAUUUUCUUUACUAUGUUUUUUUAUGUAUUUAACCAUGUUUAGCUAAUUUACUUGGAUUAGGUCUGAGAUGAUUCUGUGUAACCCUAAUUGAAACAUGUUGCUGUGAAACUCUAUUAAUUGUGAAUGACAAUCUAGUUUUUAUUCAAUUCAAUUGUUCUUAAUGCUUUUUAUAUCCUGAUCAAAUAUAAAGAUGAUUUAGUGAGAACGAAUGACUACUGACCAUAGCUUUCAACUUAGACCUAAUUGAAUUGUUCUAAUAAACAUGGUUAGUCUAUGAAUGGAUAAUCCUUUAUUAGUGAUACUAGGUUAACGUUCUUAAAACCUUCAAAGAUUAUCAGACCACCUAAGGAAUUAGGGGCUGUAGUUUGAGAAGAGGGUCCUAACUCAAGGGAUUGAUUAGGACUAUUUUGUUAACUAUCGUGGAACUAAAAAAUCAUUCAGUAAGAAUAGGUGCAGUAUAUCAAUUAGGGGAACAUAGAUGAUUCGAAAGACCUGAUCUCAUCUCUCUCUCUUUAUCUUUUCCAAAACUAUCUUAUUUCCUGUUAUUUAAUUUUAUGCAAUCAAAUCAAAAUCUACAAACAAAAUAAUUUAUACAUCCUAAAUAUUUACUUUAUUACUAAAUUGAGAUUAACACAGUCCUCGUGGAUACGAACUUAUUUUAUUACUUCGAUGCAUUUUUAGUACAUUUGCUAAAAUAUCUAUCACAUAUCUCUGGCAACUUAGUGAUGAUAGGUGCGGUACCACAUUCAUAUAGGUCUUAGGGUGAGUCCAUAUGCAUUUAAAUGAUACAUGUGCUUGGUGUUCAAGUGAGAUGAUGGAAUGUAUGAUUUGUUGAGAAGAAAAUAAUAAAUGCUAAUGAUCGUAUAACGAUAGAAUAUUGAUAUUGUUGUUUUUAAUGAGUCUGCGUAUUUUUCCUAAUAAUAUGUUACUGUGGGAUUUCUCACCCAUUUUUUGUUGUUGUGUCUACAUGGUGAUUGUACUCGUGGGAUACAAACACUCAGGUUGAGGAAGAUUGAGUACGGGAUGAUUCUUGCGGUGGAGAUAGUAGGGAACUUUGUUCCCUUUCUUUGAUUAUUUAGAUUUUUAAGCAUGCCGUCGCUAUGAGUUCUGAUUCUUCUAACACCAAGGUUGGGGUUGGGGUUGAUGUUGAAUUUAAUUGUCUUUGAGUUGAAUCUUGAAACGAUUCUUUUUUCCUUUUAUGAUGUUGAAUAACUUGAAUAAUUUUAUUAAUACAGUUCAGUGAAUUGUUUUACGUUGUUAUGAACAUUUUUAUUUGAAAAGAAAUACUUAUGCUAUUAUAUGAUUAUGGCCCCGUUUGGAUUGGUUUAUUUUGAGCUUAUGUGGGCUUAUCUACUCCCAUAAGCCUUUUUAAAGGUGUUUGGGUAAAUAAAUAAAAAUAGCUUAUCAUAGUUUCAUAAGCUGCUUAUGCCAUAUUUUAAUAAGCCUAAAUUUUCAGCUUACCCUCCGGCUUAACAAGGAGCUUAUGAAUUUAUGUAACCUCCUUCGAUUCUCUCUGGAUCCACUUUUUCAAAACAUAUAUUUUAAUUUUAUUUUUUUUUGUUUUUAGAAAAAAAAACAUAUAUACUUAUCUUACUAAAGUAACACACGUAACUAAGAUUUUUUUUAAGGAAGAUUUUUAUUAUUUUUUUGUUACGUAACAAAAUGAAACUGAAUAAAAAAAUAAACUUAACUUAUCUUUUUUUGGUAACAAACUGUACAUUAAUAUCUAUGUAUAUGGUAAGUUUACAAUCAUAAUUUCUCAAGUUUAUAUUUAUAUUAUUAUACUUUUUUUUUAAAAGAAAGCUUAUCAUAUAUUAUUAUACUUGUGUAUGAUGAUGUUUAGACUAUUUAUUUACACUUUGAAUGUUAAUUUUGUCUUAUAUGAAUAUUGAUAUUUUUUUAAGGACGAAUAUUGAUUAUAUUAUAUAUAUAUAUAUAUAUAUAUAAUUAUAAUUAAUAUAUUAUAAUAUUGUUUUUUACAUCUUGAUUGAUUUUAUCAAAAAAAAUAUUGACAAUUGUGGUUCGAUUCUUUGAUAUCUUGUUAAAUUAAAAAUAUUUAAAAUUUCGAUAAUUGCUUAUGUAAUGUCACAUCCAAACACUUCAAUUUAUGUAAGUACUUUUUAGUGUACAUAUCCAAACAUAAAUAGUUUAUCAAGUAUACGAGCUUAUAAUGUAAGCUCUAAUGUUAUAAGCCUUAAUGCUAUAAGCAUCUAUAUAAGCUGUUUAUCCAAACGGGGCCUAAAUAUAAAUUUUUGUAACAUCCUUUCUAUUAAAUACAGUUUUAUUAUUUAAUAAUUAUCGUCGGGGAUUAGGGUGUUACAUCGCCUACAUCUGGGGCAUCCAAGCCAGGAAGGAAAUCCACUAUAAUAGUAUUAGUUCGAAGUCCUAUGUGAGUAACCUCCGGUUCACUGCCUUCUCACAUGAUCACUACCCAUGAUAUUUCUAUCUAAGACACUCGUAGAUAUGAGACCCCAUCUCACUUCCUGUCAAUCACACAACCCGUGAUUUCAAUGAUUAAAAUCAAAAGGAGACACACUCCAAUAAAGAAAAUCUACUCUUGCUUAAAAACUUUAGAGAGGUUCACAAUUGCGGCUUCAAUAGUCUUCUUUAAGUUUGAAUCUUUCUUUAUAUAGUCAGAGAAUGUUGGGCUUGAUGAUCAAACAGGCUAAACAAUACAACUGAUACAAUAGUGUCUUCAGAUAUAAUCUUCUAGAAGCAUAUAUAACAUUUCGUAAAAUGUUUAGGACAUUAAAUACAAAUAACACGGUAAAGCACAAACCGACAAAAGCAGCUUCUAGAACCAUACGCCUCUUGGAGUACAGGCUACGUGAAUUAUAUCUUCAAUCAAAUCUUCGGUGAUCUUACGCAUAAACAAAAUCUUUCAAGAUUGAGAAACAAAAUACUUCACCUUAAGCUAAGAUGUCGUACUAACAUGUUUAGGACAUCUGGUCCAACAUCUUGCUAUAACAUCUUGUUUUAACAAAAUGUGGUCAACAUAAUAUAAAAACCUAACAAUUACUUAGGGGUUAAGAGUAGGAAAAGAAAAAAAAAAGGGUUUUUCAACUAAGCCAACUUGAAAAACAAGUAACUAGCACCUCCUGUCUGCAACACAAGAUCAACGAGCAUUAAGUGAGGCGUAGGGGUGCAUGAGUUAGAAAAUAAUGCUUUCUCGUGCGCAGGGGCAGGUGGCCUGGGUGCAAGGGAGCAUUAGACAUCCCCCUGUGUGCAAAUUUUGCAUCUUUUGUCCCUUUUUUGAGAGUUCUUCCGUCUUGCAAUAUCUUAGAACUAUAAAUGAAUUUUCUUCACAUUGAAUUGUGUUCAAAAACCUUCUAAGAACCAUUGAUCUUCAAUCUUCUUAUCAUAUAUCCUUCCCUUGUUGUCUUGUUUUGCCGAUUUACAUGAUUUCUCACUAAAAAAACCUAAAACACCUAUGGAGUUGCAUGAUUUAGGAUAAAACUGAAUUACAACGACUCGAAUGAAAACCAUAUAAAAAGUUCCUCAAACCAUUGACUACUUCUCUAAAUUACUUCUAAUUUUCCUUCAAAUUCCAAGAAAACAACUAAAAACUUAAUCUAAAAUAUCAUAUGAUGUUCCAUCAUAAAAAUGCAUGACGAGCAAAUAUUGAAGUGUGGAUUAUAUCGUAAGAUUAUGAACAUUAUAAUUUGAAAUACAAUAGUCAAUCAAUUAAAUUUAAAGGUCUGACGAAAAAAUAUUAAAGUGUGAAAUAUAUCAUAAAAGUUUAAACAAUAUAAUUUCAAAUACAAUUAUUCACUUUUAAAAGUACCAUAUAAGUAGCUUUGAAUUUAAUUUAUACUAUUAGAUGCAUUCACAAAUCAUCCUUACGCAGAUUGGAAAUUUAGGCCAAUUACAAUGAUAACCACGACAAUCUCGAUUAGAAUCACAUAAUGCAUCCGCUAUAAUGCCAAAUAAUUAAAAAAAAAAUGUUAAUAAUAUGCAAUGAAACAUUGUGUAUAAGAUUAAGUAGGGAAAUUUUUAUUUUUUUUAAAAACAAACUUACUUUCGGUUGCCACAGUGAACAUGAAAAUAAAAAUAAACAUAGCAUAAACAAACUUGAUAAUUUCACUCAUAUUGUUGUUUACUUAUUUGAUUGUAGAAAUAUAAACUUGCAUGAUCACUUUAUAGCAUGAACAACCUCAUUCUUCCAAAUAUAAUUAUUAUUAAUUUGUCAAAAAAAAUGUUUACUAAUUAUUAUUAAUUAUUAUAAAUUUGUCCAAAAAAAAAUUAUUAAUUGUCUCUUGAUGGUCGUUAUAGCUCAUUAUUUUACAAGUUAUUCAUUGUACUAUUUUGAUUCAUCUUUUACCCUUUCAUGAUAGGUAAGAUAUACACCUCAGUUAUAUAUGUUGUGAUAAUUUUGAAUAUUGAAUAUUAUGUGAAGUAUAUGUAUUUAAUUGUGUGAUCUUGUGAAAUUAUUGUUAAUAAAAUUGAUUGUUCGUUAGUCUAGACCUAAGAAAGUAGGGUCGUUAGUAGAAACCUCGGGGUUAUAGUUGUGAGAGCCACGAAGAUUCGAAAGCUUUUUUGGUGAUAAAACUUAAUUUUUGUGCUUUCACACAUGCAGAAACUGAAGUUACACACGAGACCAUAAUUCCAACUUGUAAAACAUAUAAAAGGUCUUUGUGCAUGAAGUGUGGCAAGAGCAUCCAAUUAAGACACUAUUUUUUUAGUUCUUAAAUGGGUCACACGUGUACACAUCACUUCUUUAUAAUUUUUUAAUUGCAAUACCUAAUAAACACUCAAUCACUCCAACUCAGAUCUCACACAAAGUUCUUAAAUGGGACUCACUACUCAAUUAUCAAUAAUUUUAUAUCAUUUAAUUUUAAUUUUUUAAUAUUAAAAGAGUGUGGAUCCCACUUAAAAGUGGGGGUCUUAAAUAAGACCCUGAAAAAGAUUCCCCCCAAUUGAAAACAUCUAUAAAUAAAUCACAGCGAUAGAUUUUUUUUAUAGGAUUAAGAAUCCCACAAAUAACAAGUAUUUAUUGAUUUUUUUUUUAAUCUUUCAAAAAAUAAAUUGACACAAUUUUAAAUAUAUAAAGUAUAUUUUCCAUAUACUAACAUGCGUCUUUAGGGUUAGCAUUUCACUUAAAAUUUCAAUAAGAGAUGCAUUAAUAAUGGUUGGCUGGUAUGGUUAUUUUGUUUUAGUUAAAGACAAAUUAAAUGGGAAGUAUCCGAUUUUAGACUCUAGCUAGAAUAAUCAUUGAUCAAGUCAUCAUCAAACUUUGUUUAAAAGAACAAUAUGAGCUACUAGGGUCGAACCGAAGAGUUAAAAAUCAGAUAAAAAUAAGACAUGCAUUAGUAAAGUGUAUUUUUUUUUGUUGAUAUAAUAGUAAAAUAAAAGCGUAUUUUAACUAAUGUUAUAAGUCAUGUUAUAAUCUUGUCAAAAAUAAAACUAAUGUUAUAAUGAAGAUAUAUGACAGAAAGGAAUACGUUACAGGGUUACAGCAAACAGAUGCUCCCUCUAAUCUCAAAAAUGAAAAAAAAAAAAAAAACUAAACUCACAUUGAUUAAAAUGUUAAUUAACCUUUAUGAAAACAAUUUUAUAUUUUUGGGAAAAGACAAAAUGAUUGUGAAUUAUCUUAAUAAGUUGGCAACUUCAAUUACAUCAAAAUAAAGAAAACUUUAAAAUAGGGGAAAUGAAUUGAAAAGAAAUUAAAAUGACAAGAUGAACAUAAAGUGAGAAAACUCCAUAGAAUUUAAGACAAGAACAUGAAUGAUUUGAAUUAAAAUAGUUGGGAAUAAAUUUGGAUUCUCUCCUCUUUUCUUUAAUUAUCAUUAUCAAUUGUGCAUUGAUUUGUUGGUCCGUUUAUGGUUAGAAUGAUUAGACUUUAGAGCAACCUUUUUUUUUUGUUGAAGGAGACUUUAGAGCAACCUAUAGACAAAAGAAAGAAGAUUGCAAUUUUGGUUUUCCUAUUGGUGUCAAAAGAAAGUCGGUGCAAUGAUAUAAGGGGGUUAACAUUGAACAAUUUAUUGUUUGUGUCAUCAAAUUGAAAGGUUAAAAUUGUAGAUUGAACUAAAUUUUGAAAUUUAGGAUCAAAAUUGCAUUUGAUCAAAUACGAGGAAUAAUAACUGUACAAUUAUUUUUUAGAUAGUAUUUUUUUUCCUCUUCUUUCGAGACAAAAACGAUAGAGAGAGUAAAUUUUUGUAACAUCUUUGUAUCACUCAAUUUAUAGUAGUGGAUUAAAGAACUGAUCUCUUCUCUAUAUGUGCAGGAUGAAUUUGUCAAACGGAGUAAAUAAAUAUUGAUGUAUUGCUUCUCUCUUCUUUAUUAUAUUUGUUGAUUCCGUUAUGCAUGUGGUGUUGCUUAGAUUUAAGUCUCUUUGUUGUUAUUGUUGUUUGAGACUACUUUGCUCUUUUAUUAGAAUUUUCUUUGCUCCACACAUCUAAGUUUCGUUGGUCUGAUUUUAUUGUUCAAAUUCACAACAACUAUUUAUUUUAAUAUAAUAUCAUAGAUAAAUUAUUGUUGUAUUAUCAAUAUGUAAAUUAUAUCCCAAAUAAUAUAUACCCACACACAUGUACAUACAUUUCUUCGAGAAAAAAAACAUAUACAUGCAAACAGCCAAAUCUCUUCUGAGUAGAAGGUCUAAUAGUUUAUACAUGAUCUCUCUCUCUCACUCCCUCUCUCUCAUAUAUAUAUAUAUUAGUAUCAGGGGUAUUUUCAAUAGACAUAUUUUCCUAAAAAUCAUUUUUGCGUCAUGAUUAAGUGCAUAGCCCAACCCAAGAUCUUAUACAAACUAAAGGUGAGAAAAAUAUAAAAGGGGGUUGAAUUGAAUUUUUCAAACUUUUUCUAACUGUUUUCAUAUCCGAUAAGAGUCGGAAGCUUGAAAAGGAGUUCUGCUCUGAGUCUGAAGCAGAGUGUCAAAGCAGUGGAUAAAAUCACCGUCUCACACACAAUUUCCUAUGUGUACUUGUGUUUGACCAUCACCAACUCACAAGUCACCAUUUAUACAAGCCGCAAGCACGGUUGUUGUUGCCUUAGAUGCUACUUUGUCUCCGCCAUUCUUCUCGUCCUCGUCCUUUUAGCCCCGAACUACUACCAUAAGAACGUCGUCGGAGCUAGAAUGGGUUCCUGCCACAACUUGACAACCACAUAUACAUAAUUACCAUUUAUGCUCAUCCCUAACAAUGUUUGUGGCAUGCGACUUGUUGUAACACAUUUACCUUUACCGGCAUCGGUGGAGAGAGCAACGGGAAGGCACCGGCAAGGGAAGUUACAGUUUCAACACCAUUGACGAGCUGUAAUGUUAGAUUACACCUCCGGUGCCAUUGUCAUGAAAAUUGUUCUUGUUUCAAAGAAGCAACAACAUGUUUAAAAUUGGUCAUUUUGAAUAAAAAUAAGAGUAGCCAACUAAUUCGUGGGAUUUGCACGACACAAGCAUUUUCCAUAAUAUAUAUUUCCUCCAAAUUUCAAACAAAAAUUUCCAAAGUAAUAAUCAUGUUCUUAAAAACAUGGAAUAUGAAACAAAGAUGCAACUAGAUUAAUGAUUAUUGUUAUUAUACAACAAAUCUAGAAGUACAUACACAUUUGAAAAUCAUAGUAGCAUUAUCUAUGGCAAAGGUUUUUUUCUUGCCUUGUUUUCCUACACUCCAGAACGAUAUUUAUUGUAGCCAGAACCCUCUUGGUUACUUCUUUCAUCCCCAUCUACCUUUUUAUACUCAAAACGCUUUGCAAUCCAUAUAUAAACACCCAAAUUAAUAGCACUUAACACAGCCAUAACCCAAUAAUAAUCAUCAAGGUGUGCCCUAUUGAUGUUAUCUCCCAACCAUUUCUCACCAGCUUUUGAACUAAUUGCCUCAAUAACUUCAAUUAUAAUGUUACUAACAAAGCUUCCAACUCCUACUAUACUUAUAUACGCCGCCGCUCCCAAACUUCUCAAUCCGUCCGGCAUUUGAUCGUAAAAAAUUUCUUGUAAUCCAACGAUAGUAAACGCAUCAGAGAUGCCGGUGAUCAUAAAUUGAGGAAGUAACCACCAAAUAUGCAUCGGUAGUAUUGCACUUUGAUCGUCUAUUAGACCGUGCUUUUUAGCAACAUUAAUCCUUUUCGUUUCAACAAGAGCCGAAACAACCAUUGUGAGUAUAGAUAAAAAUAAACCAAAUCCGAUUCUUUGCAACACGGUUAUCCCAUUUGGGUGACCGGUGAAUUUUCUAGCAAGUGGCACGAAGACUCGGUCGUAUAUUGGAACAACGAAAAGGAUCGUGACUCCAACGAGGCCUUGAAGUGACGCCGGAGGGAAUUGAAAUUUUGAUCCUAAGGUAUGGAUUAAUGUGCCACCUUGUUUAAGGAAAUAUGUGUGUAGUUGAGCUUGAACAACAGUGAACAUUAUACAACUUAGCCAUAUAGGGAUUAGGCGAACGACUAGCUUCACUUCUUCAACUUGAGUCACUGAACAUAAUCUCCAUGGAUUUCUUGUUUUGUUUAAGGAAUCAACUUCAUCAAUUAUUGCUGCUUUGUCCAAACAUCUGUUGCAAAUUAUUCAUAUAUAUUUAAUUUUGUCCCAAGAAUAUUCUUUUUAAUUAGUAUGGUUGUAGAAAUUAAAAAGUGUCAAAUAUCAAACAACAAACACAAAGGAAACAAAAAAUCUAAACCCACAAUAAGUUGUUGGUAUCAACUCGCACCAAAACCCAACCUACAUGUCCAUAACAAAUUAAUCUAUUAUUUUUCAAUGCAUGAUAACAAGUUGACCUUAAAUUCUCCAAUACAAUUAUAUAUAUUAAAGUUUGUCACUUGUCACUCAUCCAACAACAUGGCUUGGAUGUUGGAUCCUCUAACAUUUAUCAUCAAACAAAUUUUAUAAGUGUUAGCAAUGUUAUCUCUAUUCUCCAACAGUCUCUCCAACACUCAUUCUAUAAUCAAAUUAAAUGUAUGUGACGUUGGUUCUGCCACAUAAAAAUUUGAUGAAUCAGUGACAACUUUGUUACCCAUCAAUUAAAGGUGGGUAACACAACUCAUGUCAAUCACAAUUAUUUAUUUAUUUUCUAUUAUUUUUUAUGUUACAUAAAUAAAUAGUUUUGAUUGGGCUAACUAAGCAUGAGUAGUGUUACCCACCUUUUAUUGAUGGGUAAAUAAGAAUUUUGAUGAAUCUUAUUAAAUAAGUAACAAGAAUGGGAAAUUUUAGUAGAACCCACAUAAAUUUUACUCAACCAUAUAACUUGUCUUUCACUCGUAAUAAUCCUCAACACUUUUCUUUUCUAAACCAAUAAACUAUAAUAAAUUCAACUAAAAAUAAACUUAACUUUUCCCUAGCAAAAUUAACCCACUCAUCCAUCAUCUAGUGUAAAAAGAGAAAGUAGUUUAAGUAAAAAAAUGUAAUUAAGAAAAAAAUUGUAAUUUGCAUCAAAGGAUAACUUAAAGUUAGAAAGAGUGGUACCCACCUAUACUGAUUUGUAUGGAGCAAAGUAUGAUAUUUAGGUCGAACAUGAACAUGAUGAGGCUCAUCUUUCUCCUCUUCACUAUGGCAAAAAUUGUUACUAUGAAGGAGAGUGUCUUGCACGCGCCACUUGCGAGCCGCGGCGACAGAAACUUGGGCCAGUCUUGUAAAUGGACUCCCUGUAGGGCCUUCCUUUCUGUACCUUUUGAUUCCCAAUAGGAAGAGUGCCAAUGCCAAUGCCAACACUCCUGCCAAUACUCCCAACCCCACACCCCACCCAACAUUGUCCUGUAAUUUUUGUCACAUAUAGUCAUUGUUAAUACUAGCAUCCAUUAUAAUUAGAAUCAUACAUGUGUAAUGUUUUAAUUAUAUCAUAAAGUUAUACAAGUUUUUUAUAACAAAAAUGUUAAAUAUUUAUAUGUAACCUUUUGUAUUAUGGUAUUUAAAUAAAAAUCAACAUCCACUUCUCUUACCUUUUGUGAACUAAUUCCAUUUAUUCACAUAAUUUUCCAAUUAGAUGGUGUGCAAAUUGAAAAGACAGUUCUGUGAAGAAUAUGUUCCCAUUUUGGUGAAACUGGUUUCUCUAGAAAAGAAAUACGUGUGAUCUCUAAAAUCUCAUUGUAAGAUAUCAUAUCAUUCACUAUAUAGCACUAUAAUAUAAUAUUCUAUUUGUUUUUGCGUGACACAACAAUUUUUUAUAUAAUGCUUUUCGAUUCUUAGAAGUCCUACCAACCUGGCAAACCAGUCUUUUAUAAAUAAAAAUCAAUAUUUGAUUCUACAUUUGAAUUAUUUUUUAACCAAUCGUUUUGUUAAUUACUUUCUUAAAGAAUGAAUCUUAGUUAUACAAGUUAACGUGGAUAGUGACUGAUAAAGAAGUGUUGAAAAGCUUGUGUACAACUUGACCAAAGGUACAAAGUAAAAGAAAAAAUAGUUGAGAUAUGUUACACGUAAAUGUUGUAGAUACGUAUAAAAAAGUGAAACACAAACAAACAAAACUAAAAUUAAGCAAAAUUGAUUCUCGUUACUUGAAAUGUUAAUUAUCUAACUAUGCAUUACAACAUUUUGAUUCUCGAAUAAUUCUUUUCAAAAGAAAACAUUGUAAAAGUUAGUGUAUAUGGUAGGGUUUGGAUUCCUCUCUAUUAUUUUAACAAGUUCCCUUGUCUUGUUUUUUCUCCAAAAUAUCUCUCAUUUCUUACAAAAAAAUAAUAUCAACUCAAAAUUUGAUAUAAAUUUACUAUUUAAAAAUAUAAAUGUUUAAUCAUAAAAAUUCAAUUAGUUUACCUGAAGAUAUAUUGGUAUAAACACAGCAGCAGUUGAACCAGCCACAAUGCCCAAGUACCACCAAUUGAAAAAUGAACUCUUAGCAUCCUUCUCUUCGGGCGUGUCGUCGUCGAACUGAUCGGCGGCGAAAGUUUGAACACAAGGCUUAUGACCUCCUUCACCAAUGGAAAGCACAUAAAGUGCAAAGAAGAAAAGUGUCUUGUGUCUAAGUGCCGACACUGAAAGUGUCAAGAAAAUCAUGCCCUAUGUGACGUGAGAAACGUUAGAUUCUUAUCCAUCAACCAUACAUAAGCUAAAGCAAAAUUUUGUAUUGAAUGAAUAAUUAAAUUGCAAGUGCAUGCAUGGGCUUAGUUUGAUAAUGAGGACAAAUAAUAUACAGGAAAUGUGCAAAUCUUUAAAUGGAAUAUUGGAUUGGAAUCAUGUGAAAUGUCUCAAUUGUUAUGUGAGUGUGAAAAGUACUCACAAGAAAGCAAAAAAUUAUUCACAUAAAGUUGUAGAAAGAAAAUAUGAUAUUAUGAUGAGUCACUAUUUUAGUAUAUUUAGUAAACUAAUAUAUUAAUUAAGUUGGGGAAAAAUUCUAUGGUUUAAUUAGGGUUUUUAAGCUUUUUUUUUUUUACUUGUCAUUUUCAAAAUUCUAUUCAACAUUGAUUAUUCUUUUGCCAAAUAUAUUCUUAAUUGAAGGGGUUAGAUAGCUCAACUAACUUGAACUAAGAGACAAAAAAAGAGGUUUAAAGUUCAGGUUCAAGUCUUGUCAAGAAAGAAAAUAUUAACAUAACAAUUAACAUGAUGCAUUUUCCUUCAAAAAAAAAUUAACAUGAUGCAUUUGAUUUAUAUUAUUGAGAGAUAAAUAAAGUGAAUGAAACAAUAAAUUGCUAAGCAUGUUGUAAAAAAAAAAAAAAAAAAAAAACGAAAAAAACUCUAGAUUUGAAAUUAAGAUGAGUGCAUAGUUGACCAAAAUAAAUAAAUGUGUACAUAGUUUCAAUAUAAAUUUAAUGUGACACUUAUUAUAAAGUUGGCUCCAAGGCAUUAAAGGGACAUCAUAGUUCGGACCCAAUUUUUUUAAAGUGAGCAACUCACGUUAGAGUGUGAAUUACUCCAUCCGUCCUAAAUUGUAUGACGUUUUGGGCAUUUCAUACAUAUUAAGAAAUAUAAUUAAUAUUGUGUGGGAAAGAGAUAUUAUGAGUUGUUUUACAAAAUUAUCCUCAAUAAAUGAUAUGGGAAAGAUAAAUGAAGGAAUUGAAAGAAGAGAGAGUAAUAAAUAGUUAAGGAUAUAAUAGGAAAAGUAACAUUAAUUUUUCACUGGUAUUGUAAAGCGACAUAUAAUUUGGGACAAAUAUUUUUUCUAAAGUGACAUACAAUUUGGGACGGAGGGAGUAGACAAUAUCAAUUGUCAACGAAUACUUUUGAGAAACUCUUUAAGGAACUUAAAUGAUAUGUUUUUAUGAAAAUUCGUGUAUUUAUUGUAUUAAAAUUGUAAUAGUAUUUUUUGAAUAAAGAUAAUAAUAAUAAUGAACAUUAAGAGUGUUGUUUAAGAAAACAAACAUUAUCCUCGUAAAAAAAAAGGUUUAAUACAUGCUUUGGUCCUUUAAUUUAUUUUUGAAUUUCAAUUUGGUCCCCUAACUUUAAACUGUCUCAAUUUGGUCCCCUAAGUAUACCUCUGUUUAUCCAACUGGUCAUUUCUGUUAGUUUUUGUCAAAAAACGUUAACUUUAUCCAUGUUGGCUACAUGGACAAAGUUAUCGUUUUUUGAAAAAUUCUAAAAGAAAUGAUCACUUGGGUAAACGGAGGUAUACUUAGGGGACCAAAUUGAGACAGUUUAAAGUUAGGGGACCAAAUUAAAAUUCAAAAAUAAAUUAAAGGAUCAAAGCAUGUAUUAAACUCAAAAAAUAUUUAUUGAAAAAUUAUUUCAUGUAUGAGCAACAGUCAUCUAAACCUUGAGAGACAAAUGAAUAAAUAGAAUGAUGUGAUAUAUUAGUGACGUAGUAUAGAGGAAAGAAAAUAAAGUGUUGAAUAAAUGUAUAAAAAUUGAUGUGCAACCAUAUUAUUGUUAUGAGGAGUGAUAUUUGUACAACUAUGUGUGACAAUUUUGAUAACAACUAUCAGCUGUUCUCUUGUUAUUGGUCUAAAACAAUAGAGAGAGAAAAGAAAUGAGAGAAUAAGAAUAUAAUUGGAGUAUAAAAGAGAAAGUUGUCAAAAAAAAAUUGUUAUAAAAUGGUCGUAAAAAUGUCAUUUCUCAAUUGUUAUAUAGGAUUUAGAUUUGGAUUUACGGUUCCUACUUCCCACAUGUAGGACCCAAUUCAUAAUGAUAAAACUCCGCAAAAGACAAAAAGUGUUGCAUCACAAAGAGGUAAGAGCACAUUAAGAUUCCAGCUGCUAGAAUCAAGAACCAUGAACUAAAGCUAUAUAAAUUGAAAUUUAAUAUUGGAGUGAGUGUACUAAGUAAAGUCAACAUCCUAUAAAAUUAAACGAUACAAACAAGAUUAGCAUGAGCAUAAGUUAAGGAUAACACACAAAAUAAAUUUAUUAAAAACUAGGUUCAGUUAGUUGGUAGAGAAAUGCAUUGAUAUAUGCAAGUGGCAUUAAUAUAUGCAAGUAUCGGAGUUUGAAUCUCAGACACAAAUAUUGUAUUAUAUGAUGGUUGCGUCUAAAAAUUUCGUACUAUAAGAUAUGAUGCAUAAUAAUUAUUGAAAAUGAUGUACUACUACUAUUGAGUGAAGUAGAAAAAAAUAUUUACCACAAGAUAAAUGAGUGAAGACAAGAGUAUGGUGUUGAAUCGACCAAGAUAAGAAUCAGCUAUGAAGCCACCAAGCAAAGGGAAUAGUGAGGAGACACCAACCCAUGUGUUCACGUUUUUCACUGCUGUGGUUGUUGGUUCAUUCAGAAAUUUUGUGAGGUAGUUUAUGAGAUUUGAUGCCAAACCUUGGUAUGCAAAUCUCUCAGCAAAUUCCACAACUAUAUAAUAUUAAAAAAAGGACCAGUCAAUUAUAAAAAAUGGGUGUUGGAGAUUUGGAAGAAAGAAUAAUAAUUGAGGGGGUUGAAUUGAAAUUUGAACUAUAUGAUGAAGCAUGAUCAAUUAUAUAAUGAAAAGGGUUGAAUUGAAGUUGAACUUACAUAUGAUGAAGAUGGCAGCAUUCCAACCACCCUUUUUGGUUGUGGAGUGAUGGAUGAGGGAGUUACUUUUGCUCUUGCUUGGGCUAUCUGCCAUAAUUUGGUGAUUAAUUUUGUUUAGGAUGAUGAGUUGGAAUAUGAAAUAUUUUUAGUGGUGAUAAUGUUGGGGGAAAUCAUGUUUUUGGAGUGGAUGUUUGGGUCUUAUAUAGGGAAAAUUAUGGGAGUACUAUGUUUGGAUUUUGGGGUGUGGGUGAGAAAAGGAGCACUACUAGAAAUUGGGGUAGGGAAUUUAGAGAUGGUGUGAUUUGGUUCCUUCUCUUUCUAUCUCAUCGAUAUGGUCAUUGGACUUUAUGAACAUGAUAAGUAUGCACAAUUGAAAGGAAAGGAAAAACAAUAAAAUGUAUUUUAAGAAAAUAAAAUAAAAAUAUUUCAUAAAAGGAAAAUAUCUCUUAUAUGAAAAUAUCAUAAUUAUUUAUGAUUUUAUUAUAAAUAAUCAUACCAUGAAACGAUUUUUGUCUUUGACAAUUGAUCCAAGGUGUUUAUAGCUCCAUUUCGCUAGAUUGUCAAAUGGUUUGAUCUAGUUCAAGAGGCUUAACUAUAUAAAUCGGUCCAGCUGACCCGAUCUAUUUAUAAUUGGACUACUUAUUAAUGAGUUUGAUCCGAUUUAUGUGGAUCACGGGUCGGUCCAGACAUUAUAUAUAUAUAUAUAUAUAUAUAUAUAUAUAUAUAUUUUUUUUUUUUUUUUUUUUUAUUUUUUUUACUUUUUUUUUUAAUGUCACUUUGAUAUAUUAGUUGUUCACAAUUAUCUAAUUGUUUAGAUAAGAUUUAAUGAACAUAAAAGUGUAAAUAAUUUUUACAUUAAAUAUUACUUAAACUUUAGAUGUAUUCAUUCAAUUUAGUCAAAUUAAUACUUUAUAAAUUUAAGAUUUUAAAAAGUUUAGGUAAAUUUAUCCAUUUUUAUUAAGUUUGCAUAUUUAAAAAACAAUAUCUUUUAAUUAAUAAUUUUUAAAAUAGUAUUUUUUUAAAAAUAAAACAAAUGAAAAGUGGUGUAGCCUGAAGCCCGAUGGGCUAGCCUGACCCAGUCUAUUUAUUAUAUGGGUCAAAUGGGUUAGGACCAACAAAACACAGUUGUAUUUGAGCUAGUACUUUUAGGUUCGACCCGAUCAAAAAUAUGGGUUAAUGGAUCAGUGCAUCAUCCCGAAACAUUUUUUACAGCUCUACAUUUCCAUGAUGAUUUCCAAUUUGAAAGUACUCUAAAGAAGUAAAGAUACUUCAAAUUGGAAACUUUUUUAUUUCAAACUAGUGAAAAGACGGCCGCUCACGUGCCUGUUUUUCCACUCUUUUUAAUUGCGCUAACGUUUGCAUAUUAUGAACGGUGUUAUUUUAUAAAAUUUUAAUUUUGAUUAGAAGUAAAAAUAUAAAUGUUUUUUUGCUUUCAAUUAUAACAAAUCAAAUUAACCAUGAUUAUCAAUUUAAAUGAAACCAAAAAUAUAACAAAAAAUAUAUAAUCUAAAUUCUUAUUUUUUUAAUAACACUAACUGUUAAGGCAAAAUCCCUAAUUUAUUUUAAAGAUAACAAACAUUGAUGAUUAAGGAAUUAAUGGACUUUGAUUAAUUUGUUGGUAUUUAACUUGUGCUCUUGAGUGAUUAACUAAGACAAGAACAAGUGUAAAAUCAUACCAAGAUACAAAGAAUCAAAGAACAUAAAGACUUAAGAACUCAGUCAGAGUUCAGAAAGUUAAAAAAAGUUCAGAAGGUUGGACAGAGUUCAGAAGGUUGUUCAUGAUGAACAUCAAGAACCAAGCCCAGAAAUUCAUGAACUAAAAUGAAGAACAUACAAGGUUCACGUGACUUAAAUGAAAGCCCAGAAAAGUACAUGACUAAGAUCAAUCAAAGAAUAAAAGCAUUUAUUUGAUUAAAGUCAAAAAGGGCAUCUUCAAUGUUCAUUUAAGACUAUGAACAAUUGAAGUACAAAACAUUAGGAAUAUUCCAUCAAGAAUAUCAUCCUAGAUGUUUUUCAUGCUGCACUUCAUAAAUGUUUCACUAUUAGGAUUUGAUUACAUCAAUUACAAGUCUUACAAAUCAUCCUAAGUGAAACAAAAGAAACAUUCUGAAGUCCCAUGAGUUCAGAAAGUUCAACCUUGCUCCAUGCUUUUUUUGAUAUGAACAGUACAGCAGUUGGAAAGCAAAAAGCAAAGUCAAAAGCAAGAUCAGAUCUGAUUCAACAAGAUCUCGACACAUAAGGGAGUUGGUACUGUACAAAGCAAACCAAAACCCCUAAAGCAUGGUAGUGAAGUGACAGCUCCACUUUAUGAUAUCCUGCACGCGCUCCAAGACAGAUUUCAAAGAAGAUCUGUUCUAUCAACAUUCUGAAGUCGUACAAAGCAAAUCUUCAAAGUACAACCCAGAAAUUCAUGAGACAUUCAUCUGCAAAAGCCCAGAUGCAUAUCUGACCGUUCAUCCACAUGAACCCAGAUGAAGAUCAUGAAGAACACAACAACAUUCUGAAGUAUUCAACAACAUUCUGAAGUAUUCUCAAGAACACAACAACAUUCUGAAGUAUUUCAGUUUGCCCAGAAUUUCAAGUUAAAGUUGGUGGGUCCCAGGACACGUGGCAUAAGACCAGUGGUCACUCUCCAACGGCUACAAAGGCUCAAGAACUCUAUAAAUAGAGAUCAAGACCUCAGCAUAACACACACCUUUGCAAAGCAUACAAGAAAACAACAUAAGAGUGUUUGAAGCUUUAGCAAAAAUAUUGAUCAUCACAAAGAUUCCAAGAAGUCUUCAAAAGUGUAAAUCAAUAUCUCUCUUAUCUUUUCAAAGAUAAAUCUCAACCUCCAUUCUUCUCUUGUCUGAUCUAUAUCAUUCAAACCUCCAUACAAAUUGUAAAGAAAAGUCUCAUCUAGCUUUAGGGGUACUAAAGUGUUAGUUUGAGCAUAAAGGUGUAAAGUCUAAGUGGGUAACUUAGCAAGAAAGGUGUAAGCCUGCUGAGGCUAAGAGAAUACAGUUGUUGUAAUUGAUCAGGUGAACAAGGUUGUAAGGUGAAGGAUUUGAGAAGAUAUCUAAAGCAUCAUAGUGGAAAAUCUCACAAGAUUGUGAGGAGUGGACUAACCCACAUUGGGUGAACCACUAUAAAUUUCUGUGUGUUCCUCUUUUCUUCUCUUUACUAUUUACUUACAGUAAACACAACACACACAAACACAUUUAAUUAUUUAAAUUGUUUUUAUACUAACACUUCAGAACGUUCUGAAGUCUGUCUGUAAACUUAACCAUUCCAAGUUAUCAACUUGAGAAUAACUUUUAAGUGGCAGGUUUAAUUUUUAAAAGGUCACAAUUCAAACCCCCCUUCCUUGUGACUAUUUUAUAUACUUCACUAACAACAAUCUUUAUUAUAGAAAAAGUUGUUGUUUAAGGUUAUAAUUGAGAUAAUAAAAAAGUAAGUAUAGAUACACUCAUCUAGAUUAUUACACUUUUAAAAUGAUAAAGGAAGAAAUUGGACAAUUGUGUUUGUUACACUUUUAUUUUAAUAUUUAAAGGAAGAAAAGGAUAUAGUGCCAGAGCUUUAUAGUUUCAUACCUCACGGUAACUUAUGUUUAUACGUCUAUUCUUAGUUUAAGUGUACUUCAUUAACCCUAUUAUAGUCGUCUCUCUAUUGUUCUUAAGGUUAAAUAUGUUCUUGGUCUUUGUAAAUAUAGCAACUUUUCAUUUUAGUCCCUUUAACAUUUUCCUUCGACAUUUAAUCCCUAUAAAAUUUUCAAUCGCUACUUUCGGUCCUUAUUUUUAAUUUAAUAUUUGUAUUUUUUAAUGAAAUUAUGCAGAAAUGUCUAAAAUAUUCUUAAAAAAAAUUAGAAUUUUUUAACAAAACACAAAUUAAAUAUGAAUUUUUAACCUUAAAAAAUAUAUUAAUUCAUAUUAAAUUCAUGUUUUGUUAAAAAAAAUUAAUUUUUUGGAAGAGAUUCUUAUAAUAUUAUGAAUUUUUCUGCAAAAAUUUUAUUCAAAAAUAUGAAUUUUACAUGAGUUUACUUAAAAGGAGAGACAAAAAGUGAAAUGGAAAAUUUUAUAGGAACUUAAAGUAGAAGAAAUUUUUUAAAAUAACUAAAACGAAAGUUAACACAUUUAUAAGAAUCAAAAACAUAUUUAAUCAUUUUGUUCUUAUAUGCCUCUUCGUUCAUGAUAUCGAUUUAAACACAUGACACAUGAAAAUCAAAAAUGUUAUACAAAGUUAUACAAAUGAAGAAUCAAAAGAUCUAGUGAUCUACAUAUACAACCAGAUAUUAAAAACUAAUAGAUCUACACAUUCAGGUGAAGAAAAUAAUCAAAGAGAAACAUAUCAAGUAAACUUCAUUAAAUAGGAUAUGAUCAGGGGUUUUGCUUAUAUUUGAGAUCACAAAAGAUGAUUCUUUUGUUACUUAUAUUCAAGUUGGGAGGAAAACAAAUUGUGAAGUAUAUGAUAUUAAUAUAAUUUUUUUUAUUCUUUCUCUUUUUCACUAAAAUAAGAUUCGCUCGUUCAAAUAUUAAAAUUAAAAUAAUACAAUCAUAAGGAUCAUUACUAGGGUCAUACCUCGUAAUAUUUUGAGAUCAGUACUAAAUUAGUGAAACAUAUAAAAAUUUAGAUGUUAAUAUAGCGUUGAAAAACCAAAAUUUGGGUCUAACAACCAAACUAAUUUCUUCCACAAAAAGUCAAAGGUCGAUAAUAAUUUAGAUCCACCGUCUUUAAUCUCAUCUAAAUACUAGGAAAAAAUUAUUUACAAAUAUUCGUUCAAAUCAACUAUAGAUGGUCUUUGAGAUGAUCAUUCGAACCAUAUUUUGACAAGUCGUUUGUGAGGUUGAGAGGAUAUUGAAUUUAUUGAUAUUCGUCAUAAAUUCCUUACUCAAAAGUCAAAACACAGUAUCGAUAAAAUGAAUCAUUCUUAAGCAUUUUAGAAAAUAUAUGACGUACAAACUAAAAAAUCAAAAAACUAGAAAUCAAUAACAAAGCACAAGAAGGAAAGCAUAACAAAGAAACCACAAAAUCAUAAACAAAGAUAAUAAUCUCAAUUCUGAUAAUGAUGGAAUGGGCAAAAUACAAUAUUGCCAUAAUGCCAUAAUGGGCCCUUUUCAUUUCUUAAUUCAUGUGUACACAACCUUAAAACUACUUCUAAUACGUGACUGAUGGAAUGGUUAAUUGGGUAAAAUAAGGACAUGAUUAAUGAGUGCCAAUAACUUUGGUAAAAAAGGUACCAAUAACUAUGAAGGUAAUUAUAAAAACAUAAUACAAAUUUCUGCUUAUUUUAGGAUUUAAUUCAUAUGCAAAUACAAUGUAAAGAUAUAAACAUGAUCGGUUGUAAUAUUAUAUAGGGAUAGAUCUUAUGAACAUUGUGUUGCAUAAUAGAUAGUCGAGCCUUUUAGGUAUGUGGCCAUGAAUUUGAUCUAUGAUCAAUGUGUAUGGAAGAACAAUUUUUUUUUUGAGAAAGUGUAUGGAAGAACAAUUGUUGAGUACAAUUAAGCACUUAAAUAUAUCUUAAUAAUCAAUAUCUAUAACGAUUAAUCUCUGACUUUCUGUAACCAAAAAAAAAUCUUAAUAUAUAUGAAAUUAGUCAAAAGGACUUAUAAUAAGAGACCGGGGAUUCUAUAUUAAUAAUCUUUAUUUUAUUUUUUUUAAUAAUCUUUAUUUCAAAUGUACAAUAGUACGUUUUAGAUUUACAAUUGAGUUGUGGUUCAACAAUUAAAAACAAACAAAUUGAAUGUAUAAAAAAAUGGGUUAAGCAAGUUUUUUAUUCCCUAUAAUAUCUUAAAUUUUGUUUAAAAAAAAUGGGUUAUGUAAGUUUUUUAUCCUUAUAAUAUCUCAAAUUUCGUAUUUAGUCUCUUUAUAAAUUUUCUACGAGCUUUUGGUCCCUAUUAUAACAUCAAAUCAUGUGUAUCUUUCAAAAUUUUAAAUUAAUUUUAUAUUCAUGUUUAAUACAUUAUAGACAUCUAACUUGCAAAAAAAAUUAAUUGUUUUAACAAAAAAUAAAUUAAAUGUGAAUUUUUAAAUUUUAAGCACUUACAAAUUAAUAUUUUGUUAAAAAAUCUAAAAAAAUUGUGGGAGAUAAUUUUAUAAUAUUCUAAAUAAUUGAGUACUAUCAGAUUCAUUGUCGGAUUCAAACAUGACUGAUUUGGUUUCAUUAUUUAUUUGCAUAUGACGAUGAACCUGGUUGAACCCAAUUAUUUGUAUUGUCUCGUCCCUAUUGAACUCGUAUCACAUUGAGCUCAAUCAUGUUCAUCGUCAGAUUCAGAUAUAAAUAAUUGGUGGAAAAUGUUAACUUAUACCCUUAAGGCAUAAAUUAAUGAAUCAAAAGUAUAAAUAUUUUGUAGUAAUUAAUGCAUUUGAAUUUAUUUAUUUUUUAUUAAUUGAAUACACAAAAUUUAAGAAAAUAUUUUUAUUUUAAGUUGUUUAACAUGUGUUUUUAUAACACAAGUUAUCAUGACCCAUAAUUGAUUUGGUCUAAGUUAGGAUCGGGUUUGGGUCUAACCCAUCUCAUGUCCACUUGUUCAAGCCUGCACCCCAAAUUAUAAUAUUUCAAUUUAUAUGACAUAAUUUCAACUUUUUAUCAUGGAGGUAACCAAAAAACUUUUUAUCAUGGAGUAUCUAAGAUGUGCUUAUAAUAUUGUUCGUUAUUAAAGAUUUAGUUGACUUUGAAAGUUAGGAACUAACUCCAUUAUUAAAGAGGUAUUGAAAAACGUGAAAAUUAAAUGUCAUUUAAGUUGGAAAAAAUAUCUUUAAAUGAAAUCACACGUCAUUAUUUUUUAGUGUGGUGUUAACAAGUAUGGUUUGACGCGUAAUAAGAAAGUAAAUUGAGACCUCCAAACAAGAAAAUAGAGAGCAUUGUGUGAAGAAUCUUGUUAUUUCUCAAUGAAUUGUUACAAUGAUGAUGAUCAAUAUUUUUAUAGACAAAAUCUAUGGACUAGGAAAACUAUUGUGAUCUUCCAUACAAUAUUUGUAACUAUCAUCGAUGGUUGUCGAAGAUGAUAUGGCAAGUUAGUUGGAGCUAGGUGAGAUAGCUUAUUCCUCAAGCAAAAUCAAAUUUUGGCCUUAAAUGUGAGAUGGUUAAAAGAAGAUGAUGUCAAAACAUAUUAAUUACAUGGUUUUUUUUUUCUUCUCAACAACAAUUUUCAAUAAAGAGAUACAGAGACUGGGGAACAUUAAACAUGACCCAGGUAAAAUCUAAAAAGGGAUACAUCAUAAAAAAAUCAUACCACGUGGACCAACCCUAAUCUAUCCUAAUAAAAAUUCAUUUAUCACAGGUGCAACUCAGCAAACCCGCAUAGGGGCUCGAAACCAUAUAAAAAAAAGUAUGAAAAGUGAAUAUUGCAAAGGAACAAUUAAGGUUUAAAGAUGACGAAUGGAUUGACCGCCAACACGGUAACAAAAUCCAAGUGCCCAACGGCUCCCUGAACACCAGCAAGCAAAGCAUCCCUUUCGAGCAUUAACGCGUAAGAACUCAGAUCGAGGGAUGAGUCUAAUACGAUAGAAACCAGAUCAUUUCGGAUUUAUAGAACCAGACCCUUCCGGGUUAUUGUAAUCGAACCAAACCCUUUCGGGUUUUUGAACCACAACAAAGCCAAAACCUAAGCUCCCCCGACAUGGGCGGAGCUACUAUGAAACAUGGUGUGGCUGUUGCCACACCAGAUAUACACUAAGUAUAUAUAUAAUAUAAGUCAUCAAUGUAUCAAAGUUUCUUUGUUAGUUUAGCGAUAUACGUUUGAUGGUUAGCUUGCAGAUCCUGUGUUCAACUCUCAGCAAGUUGUAGUUUUUGAUUAUUUUUUUUAAAAUAUUAAUAUUAAAAAUGGUGUUGUAAGGAAUCGAACCUGUAACACCAUGGUAAAAUGCUCUCACCCAAACCACUUUGCUAUAGUUUUUAAGUUGUUAAUGCUUUACUUUGUUAAUAUAUAUAGUUACUUUGCAAAUUUUGCCACACCAAUAUCAACUGUCUGGAUCCGUCCCUGUCCCCCAAUCUCUGCACAAGAGAACACAAACACAGAACAAAAAGCCAUAAAUCUCACAAAACAACCCGCCAACAGAGAAUCCAGCAAACCUACAAAAUGAAAAAACAAAACGCAAAGGCCAGGCAACAGAAAAGCAACGAUCCGAGGACCCCAGCGACGGAACUUGCACCAAACCUCUCGGCAUACUCGAACAGAGUCCAAACUGAACCAGCUUGAACCACCAAACUAGCAGUAACGAACCUCAACAAGCAAAGAUCUGGAAUCAAAACAAACAGAUCUGAAAACCCCAGAUCAGAGUUUCAAUUCCAGAUUAACCAAACACGUCCAACCUCCUCGUUCCUACCAAACGGCAGCGACAACGCGACGAAGGAGAAUUAAACAAAGAGAGUGACGGUCGUUGGAAGGAGAAGAGCAUAGACAACCGACGAACAGAACCCACCGGAACUCAUCAGCGCGGCGGCCGCCGUGAGUUUCACAAACGAAAACUAGCGUUGUAUGAUAGGAAUAAAAGUUUGAAGCCAUGUGGAUAUAAUUUUGCCUUUAUUAAGUCAUUCUGAGGCUUUGUUAGGGAGGAAGUUGAAGUUAUGUUAAUUCGUUUAAUGUUAAAUUUGAGGCUCCCAAAAAGUUUUUCCUCCUACUUAUCAUCUUGAUCACCAUAGCGGACUCAACACUUAAGUUAGGGAACAUCGAGUUUAUCUCUAUACUAGGGUGUUUUUUUUAAAUUGCUUGCAAAGAUGUUGGUUGGUUGGUAGGUUAAUAUCAAAAGCACUUUAGAUUUCAUAUCAAGAAGAUCUUAAUUGUAUAUCAUAAGCACUUUAGAAUGACUAGUUCAAGGAAGUCCAGGAUCAAUGUUCAAAAUGAUUCUCAUCUCAAGAGUAAAGAUCAAAGUUUUUGAAGAUCGGAUUGAAAUCAAGUGUAUUUCAGAUUGCAGAUCAAGUAUAUCAUAAGUGCGAGACAAGAAGUACAAAAGAUUGAAAUUGUGAAGAUCAGAAGCAAUAUAAGAAGAACUUCAAAAUGAGAUAUUCAGAUAGCACCGGAAAAAAAUGACAAAAACAUGGCCAAAGGUGCACAAGAAGACCACAAACUGAGAAGCAAUACAUAUGGAAUAACAACUAAUUUCUAAAGUAACUUGAUCAUUGAUGCAAAACACUAAAAGACGAUAAUAACAACUAGCUUCUUGCUUGCUCACUUAAACAAAGCUCUAUAAAUAUAAACAUAAUUCAAAUGUGAAAGACAACUUUCUUAUACAAUCUCUCAUCAAAACACUUCUCUUAAAGAAUUGUCAUAUGUAAAUAAAUUAUAAGCAGAAAGUUCAAAUUUCUUGAAAAAGAUCAAUCACCUUCAAACUUGAGAUUCAUUCUCAAACAUUAUAUAGCAAUCACAAGUAUACUCAAACCUACAUUAUAUCUUUGGCAGAUCCUUUUAAGUGCAUUUUAAAAAAUCAGAUUCAUCAAGUGUGAUCAUAUUGAACAUAGAAAGAGAUAGAAAGGUCAAUGUGAGAUCAAAUUGAUCAUAAUCAUAUCAAGACCACAAAACUACUAUUGUAUUUAGUUGGUUGGCAUUGUAAUCAUCUUCAUAUUGUUAAAGAUGACUUGUGAAAUUGUCUAACGUCUAAAGAUGUUGUCCAAAACUUGUAUGGUCCGAUAGAAUAUAAGAAAAGAAGAGAAAUUGUGCAAAUCAAUCAAGAAUAUAUAUCUCUGUAUCAUUAUUUUUUAGCCUAAGAAUAUGAUGAAUGAACCAAAAUUGUACAAUUUUUAAUGGGGGGUCGAUUUAUCGAACACAACUAAUAAUAGUGAGACGAAAACAACAAUUAAGACUUUUCACUUUGUUGUUGCCUUUCUUAUUUUAUUUUUAUAUUUGGGGCUACCUUUGUUUUGUGGAUUAUUUUUCUAGUUUCCAAGUGAUCGAGUAACAUCUAAUACCUAAGGAGAUACUUCUAUUUUAUUUUUUAUUUCACGCUAUUAAAUUCUAUUUUGCAUUGAAUAUCGGUGUAAAACAUGUUUACAACGAUUUUAUGAGUACAAUUUAGUUGAUGGUUACAAACAUGGGUGGUUUUACUACCCGACGAGUUUGGGCAGAUGCUCAGGCUCAACUCAUAUGUUCUCUCUAUCAUUAUAAGAAAUGUUUAAAUAUGAUAAUCGUCUUUGUAAUUUGGUCAAGUUUUAAUUUUCGUCCCUGUAAAAAAAAACUUUGAAAUAUAUCUCUAAAAAAAAAUUUGUUUGAAAAAAGUCCAUGUCCCCACUAUUUGACAUGGUUUUGGCCACUUGGCAGUUGCUGAUUGUGCAACUUUUACCACGUGGUGUGCCACAUAAUAUUAAUUUUUUUAAAAAAAGUUAAAAUUCUGAAAAUUGUUUUUAAAAUUAAAAAUUAAUUUAAAAAAAUUAAAAAAUCUGAAAAAAAAAAUUAAAAAAUUAAAAUAAUUUUCUGAUUUAUUUUUUUGUAUAAUUUUCAAAAUAAAAUUAAUUUUUAUGCAAAAUAAUAUAUAUUCAGAAAUUUAUGAAAAAAAAUUAAAAUUUUCGUAAAAGAACAAGAAAUUAGAAUUUUUUUUAAAAUUAUAAUUUAUUUUCAAAAAAUUUAAAUUUAUAACUUUUAAAAAUAUAAUUGUCAUUAUUUUCGAAAAAAAUUAAUAUAUAAUUUUCAAAUUAAAAAAAAUCUAUUUUUUGAAAAUUUAAUUUUAAUAGUUUUUAUGUCAAAAAAUUAAGUUUUUUUUCGGAAAUAUUUUAUGAUUUUUAAAUUUUUUAAAUUAAAAAAAUAAUUUUCAGAUUUUUAUUUUAAAUUUUAAUUACGUGGACUGCCACGUGACAAAAGUUGCACAGUCAGCAACUGCCACGUGGUAAAUAACAUGCCAAGUCAAAAUUGAAGUGGGGCCAAGGACCUUUUUCAAACAAAUUUUUUUUUACAAGGAUGUAUUUCAAAGUUUUUUUUUUACGGGGAUGAAAAUCAAAAUUGGCCCAAAUUACAGGGACGAUUAUCAUAUUUAAGCCUGCAAGAAAUUUGACUUGUAGUGACAGCUGGAAUCUGUUAUUAUAGGGUUUAUUGUCGUAGUUAAAUCUUUAUGUCAUUUUUAAAUGAUUGUCACCGCAUGUUUUCCACCUUUACCUACAGACAAAACCAUUGGUAAUUCUAAGGAUACCAUUUUAAAGUCGUUAAAGACCUACCUACGGUUGCCGCUGUCACUAAAAUUUAUCAUUGUUUUAUUUAUUUAUUUAUUUUAUAUUUUCUAUUCAUAAAAUUACCACUAAAAUUAGUUUAAUCAAUGUCAUUGGAAUUUGAAAUUUAUUACUAUAAUCAAUUUUUAGAAUAAAUUGUUGAAGUGACUUAACUAGAAUAAUUUUUCAUAACUAUGAUAUAUUGUACCAUUCAUCCAAACCAAUACUCAACACUCACAUACAUACUCAAUACUCGUUUAAUUUAUGGCAACAAAAUUUGAAUCACUAUUCAUAAUAACUUAUUAGACAAAAUAACAUACUAUAAAGUUACAACUUGCAAUCACUUCUACAAUCACCUCAUACCUAAAAGAACUUACAAUCACUUCUACAACAUAACAUAAUAAAUUAGAUUUUAACUUCUAAUUUGUGGAAUUUCAACAAUAUUGGGUACACCAAAGCUAUUACCAACAUCAACAAAAGUUGGAAGUCCACCAGUAGUCAAGUCCUGUCAAUAAGCUAGUAAAAUAAUCUUAUAAGUCUGCGAGAAAGAAUUGUUACCACAAGAUCAACGAUUUGUGGUUCAAUGACUUGAUGAUAUGUUACACCAAGAGAGAGAUAUUCAAGUCACUUGAUGAUGUUGAUAUUAUUCUAACAUUCACUGCAAAGAGGUCUCGGAAAGGACAUUCACCUCCUAAUUUUAUUUAGCACACUAUUGAUCGGUUACAUUUCAUCUCUCUUAUGUCAAACUUUUAUUGACAAAACGACGAACAUCUUUUAUUUUAAUUUAUGACUAUUUAUAUAUUAUAUCAUACAUGAAUUUAUGGAUAAAAUUUUGCCUAAACUCUAUAAAAAUUUCAGGCUCCACCACGUUGGAAUUCAAAAUUUAUCACAUUUUCAGGUUUAAAGGGUAUGAAUCUAUCAGUUGACUAUCCGAAAAAAAAAAAACAUAUUUACAACAAAAAUGUAAAUUCUUCGUAUCCUUAUAAUAUAUUGUGUCAUUUUCAUGAUAAAGGGUCUUCAAGUGAUGAUGAAACAUGUUUACUUUAUGGAAAUAUAGCAACCAUAGUCAAUGCAUAAAAAGUUUUCUCCCAUUUGCUACCGUGAAAGUCAUAGUGCUUUAUUCUUCGAUCAUUUUUUAUAUGUUUUUUUAUUACUUUUUCCUGCUGAUACAUGCAUGUAACUCUUUCUCCAUCUUCCACAGGUUAUGCCGACUAUACAAUAUCCAAUUAUCCAUCUAUCACACCACACACAAUAAACACUAUAAUAAUAAUUUACUGCCAAAUUUCCUCGUAUACUCAAUGAAGCACCACAGAGGGAGACAGAGAUAGAUGACUAUAUUGAUGUACCUCAUAUUGCAACAUGUUAUCUAAAGGUUUUGCCGACUAUUACAUUUUACAUAUAAAUGAUACGCCCAAAAACAUGGUGAUACCUCCUAACACUCGAAAUAGUGUUUUAAAAAUCGAACCGAAUUAAACAAUUCAACUAGUCGAAUUGGGAAAAUGGCGGUUCACAUUGGUUUGAUCUCGGUUAUUUUGUCAUCUGAUUUAACCGAAUUGAAUCGGAUUAAAUUGUCGAACAAUAUUUUAACUGCAAUUGGUUCAACCAUAUUUAUUUAUACGUCAUCCAAUUCAAAUGGACCAGGUUUAACCGUUGUGAUGUUUUCGUGUUGUUUCAUGUUGUAACAUAUUAUGACUAUUGAUUUGAGAUCGGACGGUUCAAAUUUCAAAUUCAAGUUCGCACCAUAAUACAAUCUCGGAUGCUCAUUUCGUUCGAACGGCUGACACCUGUAAUUGUAUCACGCAAUUACAGCAGGGAAUCAAAUUGCAAUUCGAAUGUAGUUGAAUCGAUUAAAUUACCGAUUGUACUAUGAAUUUAAGAUUAUUACUUAUUCAAUCUUUGAUCCGAUUUUUAGAACGUACAUAAAAUUCUUUUGUAAAUUUUACUAAGACUAAUUAGCAGGGACAAUCCAAAAUCCAAUAUAUUAAGAGACAUUAGAAGUAAUAAAUUAGGUAGAGUUCAAGAUUUGUACCCAUGAACGAGCAAGAGUAUUUUAGGCCUUUUCAAUUACCAAUUAAGCUAUAUAAAUAUCUAUAAUUCAUUUUCCAUACUUUAUAUUUAUAACUAAAUUAAAUUUUUUUGCGGCCUUUUUUCAUCUAAAAUUUUGAGGCUCUUGUCUGAACUGCUUGACCUUUGGAUCGACCCUACUAAUUAGCACUCUCUAGAAGCAACUACACACACUUCUUCUUGCUCAACUUGACAACCCCACUUACACAACACUACCAAUGAAAGACCAUAGGGAAAUUAAGUGGUAGUAAGUAACCACCUGAAGCAAAAUCUGAAUAUGGUCCAUUUUUCACAUAAUGGUGGUGUCUCCAAGUUCAAAUUUUCAACAGUUUUUGUGAUAUACAUUUUUGACUAAAUGUGAUGUACAUUUGUGAUAUAGAGCUUUUUGAUAUACAUACAUAUGAAUAAAUGUGAUAAUGAAAUUUAAAACAAGCUUUGGUCUUUGACAAAAAUGGAAUCUUCUGAUGAGUGAAAAUCAUGGCAACAAGAAAUUGAAAACUUUCUAGACCUUUAAUUUUGUUGUGCCUAUAAGAGAAAAUAAUGUGUCUAAAAUUCAUUGACUCAAAGGGUAGGAAAUUAUUAGACUUUGGUAGGGACAUUGUGCCCUUUGUAGCCUUUUUUCAAUAUCAGAAAUUUGAUUUGCUAAGAUUGAAAUCUAUGGCUUUUAAGGGAAGCUAGGGGGGCCAAAAACACAAAUUUGCAGUGUUGCCUAAUAGCAUUGGUGUUUUUUUAACUGAUUACACUUUCUGAAAGAUUAAGAAUAAGUGUUCCCUUAUGCCUUAUCUUUUGGUUAGAGAGGCAAUAAUAAACAAUAGUAAUGUCAUGAUUUGAUAUACUACUAUUCAUGUGACUAUUGUAUGUUUUAGAAGGAUGAAGGAUCUGCACCACUUUGUUCACGAUCUUUAGAUGUGAUGUAACUUAUUUAAUAUGUUUAUCAUAAGAAGAAAAAAACCACCAUAUAGUCAAUAAAGUUUUUUUUCUUACUCCAAGUCAAUAAAGUUAUUAAUGGUGGUAACUUUUGAAUAUGUUUACAAGUAUAUCCGUAUAAGAAAUUGUGACUUGUGAGACACUUAAACGAGACUAAAAAAUCUAUUAAAUGUGAUUUGUGGAUUUCACCCAAUUUAUCUACUCUAAUAUAUACAAUUAAUAAAGGUGUUUUAGGUACAGUUUGGCUAGGUUUUUUUUCGGUCUAAAAGUUACUUUAAAACAAAGUUAAAAUAAAGCUAUUUAAGGAAAAAAAAACUAAAGUUAUUUGGUUUCUUUAUUUUUUUUAGUUCUAAAGUUAUUUUUAUGUUAAAAGUUGUUUAACAAAAUAUUGUACAAAACUUUAAUUUUUUUUUGUGGUGUCCGAGGUUCGAACCCGCGACCUUGCAUAUAUUUAUACAUUGUCUAUAUCAACUGAGCUAAGCUAGAGAAUAGUUUGUAUUUUUUUUCCAAUUAUAAUCUAUAACAAAUUUUGUUAUAAGAAUAUCAUAUUUUUGGUGUCAUUUAAAAAGAUAAUAAUUUAUAUUAUAUGAUAUUAUAUUUGUUACAUUGUUGGUGUCAUUGAAAAAGAUAUGUUUAGUUCUUUUAAUAAGAAAAAGAUAUGCAUAGUUUGUUACAAUAUAAAUGUGUAAAAUAUAUAGAGUAAAUAGUCAAUUUUCCCCCUGAAAUUGUAAGUUUCAUCAAUUACCCUCCUGAAAUUAACAAAACUUCAAUUACCCCCCCCCCCCGAAGUUUCACAACGUUAGUCAAUUUACCCCCUCCGUCAAAUUUUCUGUUAGUGAACAUGACAUUUUGCAAAUACCCCCCUGAAGUUUUGCACUUAUGUGCAAAAUGCCCCCCAAACUUAAAAAUUUAUAUUAUUUUUUUUCUUAAAAACAAACAAUUAAUAGUUAAAUAUUAAAGCUAACUAUUAAUUUUGGAGUUUGGAAAAACUACAUACAUAUAUACAUCAAAAUAGGGAAAAAAAUGUAUUUUUAAAGUGACAAUAAUGGUUAUUUCUAAUAGACAAAUUAUUAUUUUUAGAGGUUUAUAAACAAAUUAAUAAUCAGAUUUAAAUUUAUAUUUUCUCCUUCACCAUCUUAGUCUUUUAACUCCUCCAACUCCUUCAACAAUUUGCUCAAACCAUUUAAACUACACAACCCCCAAUAUUAAUCCACAAAUCAUCCUAUUAUUGUCACUUUAAAAAAUACAUAUUUUUCCCCAUUUUGGAGCCUAUUUUGAUGUAUAUAUGCAUGUAGUUUUCCCAAAUUCCAAAAUUAAUAGUUUGUUUUAAUAUUUAACUAUUAAUUGUUUGUUUUUAAGAAAAAAAUAAUAUAAAUUUUUAAGUUUGGGGGGCAUUUUGCACAUAAGUGCAAAACUUCAGGGGGUAUUUGCAAAACGUCAUGUUCACUAACAAAAAAAUUUGACGGAGGGGGUAAAUUGACUAACGUUGUGAAAUUUCAGGGGGUAAUUGAAGUUUUGUUAAAUUCAGGGGGGUAAUUGAUGAAACUUACAAUUUCAGGGGGAAAAUUGACUAUUUACUCAUAUAUAUAAGUAUAAUUUUUUUAGGCAUCUAUACCAAUACUUUUAAUUAAAAUCAAAAUUUUAUAAAAAUAAUAAUUGUACGCAUCACGCAACACUGAAAAAAUUAUACAUAUUAGCGUAACAAAAAAAACAGACAUACAGACAUAAAAUAUUACUCUAAACGUUAAUGUGUGUGUGUGUAUUUGUGAGGUUGAAGAAAGGGAAUAAAAAUAUUUGGUGUCAUUCAAUGACAGCAUGAAUAAAAAUAUUUGUGAGAUUGUGAUAAUUAAACGAUAUUAAAAUUAAAUAUAUAAGUGAUAAAAAAUAAUAAAAUUCCUUCAAAAAUAGAUAAUAAAAUUAAAUUGAUCCUCCUUUAAAAAAAAUAUAUGGACCGGUUCAAAAAAAAUUAAAUGGAAGAAAAAAACAAAUUGAAAUAUAAUAUUAAAAAUAAAAAAUAAGGUUGUUUGCGUGAGUUGAAGAGAAGUGCUUGUGAAAUAAAUUACAGAGAAGUAGUGUCUUGAAGUAGCAUUCAACAACUUUUGGUUAAAGCUCAUUCCAUUCAAUUUUAUGCAUUCUAAAAAAAGUAUUUUUUUUCAAAGGUACUUUAUUGAUAUUAUGUUUGACCUAACUUCUCCUUAAAAAUGUAGAAAAGCUGGAAAAAAACCGGAUCAAACGGUACCUUAGUAAUGAUAUUGAUUUUAUUAUUGAAAUCAAUACAAAAAAUCAUUUUUUUUUUUAAAACCACAUACAACUUUAAAAUGACGAUUAAAAUAAGACUGAUGAGAUGGUUAAAAUAAGACAGAUGAAAUAAGCGGUAACUACCACUCUAUAAGUAUCCACAUGAGUAUUGUUCGGUUGAUUUGGGUAAUGCAUAAUAUAUGCAAGGUUCAUGGUUCGAACCCCAACCAACAUCAAAAAAAAAAAAAAAGGAAAAUGAUUUACAUUUAUUUAUAGAUGAUUGGUUUAGUGGCCCACUCGUACACAUAUAGAGUAAAACGGUAAUUUGAUUUAAUCCACCAUCCAUUGAAUGUAUCAACCAAACAAAAAAACUUUUAGUUGAUUGGAUUCAAUCUACUCAUUUAAAAAUAUUAAUGGAUCUAAUACAUCCAUCUUAUUAGGAGAUUCAAGGAUGAGCUCAAAUGCUAAUACACUUUGUUUUUGAUCGAGCAGUUUAGUGAUUAGAAUUUACAUUUUAGCUGAAUAAGUGGGGUGUUCGAUAUUUAAAUUUCGGUCUUUGCAUAUAACAAUGUAUUAUCUAUGUCAACUAAGCUAUGUUUACGGAGCUAAGUAAUAAUACCCAUAUAUUUGAUAAAAUAUGAAUAUUUCAUUUAUAAAAUUAAUAUAAUAACAAAAUUAAAUGGAUCAACACCAUAUUUACAAAUUUCUACGAAAAAUGUUCUUUUCCCUUUCAUUUUUGCUCAUAUUCUCACUUAGAACUUUCAAAAUUAACCCCAAUGCAAGUUAACUCACGCUCUGGAUGACGAGCCUGAGUUAACUUGUGCUGUCUACAACUAGCGGAAAAAAAAAACCACCGGACUUAAGUCCCUCUGCCUAACCUUACAUUUUCAAUUCUCUUCUUUUUAGUUCUGCUAAGAGAUUUCUGUGUGUAACUGAUGUCCUAUACACACUGUAGGCUUGUAGUGAACUGAGCCAGACAUGGAUGGAGUCAGGUGAGCAUUCUUAGUAAAGAUAAAAUGCUUAAAAUUGGCUCUUAACCAUCUUUAUUGAUGUGCACCACGGCAUGUUUCAGCCGUACCGCACUCCUUCUUUUCCUAUUUCUAUGGGUUUCUUUAAAAUAAAAAAUAGAAAAAUGCAAAAUGUAUACAUCCCAUUGAAAACUUCUGGUCAAUUGCACCCAAAAAACGCCUCCAAUAACAUAAUCGGCUCACCUUGCCAUAACAGCAUGUCAACAUUUAACAACUUAUCUAUGUCGAUACCGAUAAUGCAUAUGAAUGCUCUAACGGUAAGCAGCACCAAGUGAAGCUAGAAGAGAGUUUGUUUCAUCUUUCUUGUCGAGAAAUCGAUUGGUCUCGAUGUUACAUGUUGAAACGAUGGAAGGCCACGGUUACUUCCAUCGGUGUCGAAGGCAAUAUCAGUAGCUGGGAGUAGGGGGUACAUGCACCCGACAGAAUUGGUGACUGUCAGUGUGUUGCGAGUAAGGGAGGAAGAGUUUAGUGGAACAUGCAAUAGGGAUGUUUUAAUUCAAAGAUCCAUUUUAGAUCAAAUAGAGUUUUAUAGGGUGGACGCGCACUCAUGGGAUUUGCACGAAAGUUUCUGUCGUGCACAUUAGCAUUACUGACGAAAAAAUUAAAUAUUUGUAUCGUUCACAUUAUCUCUGUUACUUGAAAAAGGAAAUAACAUGAUUAUUUUGUGGGAAGGAUGUCUUAGGCAUUGAUGCCAAAAAGCAUGAAAAAUGGCUUGAACAGAGUUACAAGAUACUUUCAUUUUUGAUUGAGGUAGUAAAGUCCCCCCCGACUCAAUUCUUGUCUCAAUCAUCUUCACGAAUCAUUAAUCUUGUAUGACACAAAAUUGUCGGAGAAAGACUGUAAAUGUAAUAUAGAAUGAAUUCAAUGCUAUGAAAAGUCAAAGUGGAACACAUAACACUGUCAAGAAUAAAACUUUGAGAAAAAAAAUCUUGCCAAAUAUGUAUAUCUUGUGUUGAUGAGUUGUUUGGUAACUCCUCGUUAUGUGAUUCAACAUGUUUUAAAAAGUCAGAAAAUUGUGGCUAUAAACAAUGUGGUUAUUCAGUAUCAAAUAUCUUUUGAGUAAAAGAGGUUACUUGAGAAUUCAUCAUAUUUUGAAGUAGGAACUCACUGACUUGUUAUCUUGUACACAAGCAUUAAUUUCAUAUUUAAACAAGUGUCUUGUUAAAGAGUAAUUAUUCCAUAAAAAUGUCAAAGUUUUUAAUUUUCAAUGCACUUUAUUACACAAAUUUUCACAAAAUUACAUUUAAAGUCUUUAACUAGUGCAUCGGGAACAAUAAUCAUAUGAGAUAAACGUUCCUACAACUCAAGCCAACAUGCUACAGGCUUCUUUGGAACUAAUAAGGCUUAUAGUAAAUACAUUUUUUACCCUUACGUGAUUUAACCUACGCUAGAUGUGUGUACAUGAGAUUUAAGUCUAGAUGUAGAUUCCAGUAACCAUGUCUCCAAGACUGCAAGGAAAAUUUAUCCAAGAUUGUUAUCUUUAGGCCUCCUGGAUAAAACUAAAAUUGAAAGAACUUAGCAAAUGGGUAAGAAUUUAAGGAGAGAUGAGUUCGAAGUAUGUGACAUAUUGGUGAAAUUAAGGUCCUCAAAUUUGUUAUCUAGGAGGGCUAAAACUGAAAGGGAGUGAUAUAAUCCCUUCAGGUCAAUAAGAUGUGAUCAAAGUGAAGAACUCUGAAUUAUAACACCUAUAGACGAAGAAGGCUUUGAUAGGAUGGAAUUCAAAACAAAGAUAUUCCAUCUCUAAUGUCCCACCAUAAAACCUUAAAAGACAAAUGUCAAGUUUAAGAUCAUAAACGAACGCUUCGUGGGAGGCAAAUCACACUUUUAUUUUUCUAAUAAAAUAUUUGUUUGCGCUAUGGAUCACCAGCCAUGUUGUUUUCAUUGUUUUUAAUCUCAAAUUAAAAGGACAAAAUUACAUGAACCAUUUGAUCAAUUAAAAGGACAAAAUUAUUGUUUCUUUCUUUUUCAAGGGCUAUUUAUAGACUUCAUGUAUAUUACAUGAACCAUUUGAACAAUUGACCCUAAACUUUAUCAAAACACAGGGCAAAAGGUUCGUAAAGAUUAAUAAAAUUAGAAUGAGGUAAUGUUACUUUUUUUUGAUAAGGUGACACACAAGCCAAUAAAACUAGAAAAAGACUCGUUAUGUUCAUCUUCGAGCAAAUAAAAAAAAAUCCAUAUUCAACCAACAUCCUAAAAAUCAUAUAUAAGUUUCACAUUUAUAACCAUAAAAUAAAACCCAUAAAUUUUUCUCUCAGCCCUUAUUAUUGUUGUUGCUUUGAUAAAAAGCGAAGCCAACAAGGAAACGGUCGGAGAUCUAGAAACCCAAAAAUUGUUACCCGUGUAGGUUUGUAAAUCUUUAAAUCUUCGAGGAAGCGUGAGAGUGGUUACAGUUGAAACUUGAGAUUCUAGUGGGUAGAUUUGUAAAUCUACAAGUUUGUAACCCUAAUUUCUUAUUUCUUCUUCAAUCGAAUAUAAAAACAAAUCUACAUCUUCAACAACACCAAAAAUCCUCAAAACCAAAUCCCUAAAAUCUAGAUUUGGGUUUCAUAUUCAAACCCGCAAAAUUUGAAACCUGUAUAGCAUCCUCUCAUCUUUCAUAUUGUUGUUGCUUUGAUAAAAAAAAAAUAUAUGAAGUCAAAGAGAAAAGAUUAAAGAUCUAGAAACUCAUACGUUAUCGGUGCAAUCUUGUAUAUCUUAAAAUUCUUAGUGGGAGUGUGUGAGUGGGUUGAAUUGAAACUUGAGAUUCUAGUGGGUAGAUAUGUAAAUCUGAGAGUUUGUAUCCCUAGUUUCUUACUUUCUCCUCUGUCGUUUUUACUUUCUUCAACUACUAUCGAUGUUAGGUUUCUUAAACCAAUUUUAAUUACUUUCAGCAGGUUAUGUAGCAAGAGAGAAUAUCCGAUCAAAUGAGUAGCAUGAAAAUGGAUGAAGACUGGUGAGAAGACUUCCAAACAAAAUCAUUGUACGAAAUUUUUUUAAUUUGGUAAGUUUGAAUUUUCGAUUUUCUUUAUUUUUUAUUUUUGGAUUUUUCUUUUAGAGAAGAUGAUAUGGGUACAUAAUUAGAUUAAAGAUUAAAUCUGAAGUUUUAUUUUGGUAUUUGAUUUUUUAUUUGAUGAAGAUGUUUAAGAACAUGCAUCAUAUUGUGGAGAUGAUGAAAACCAAGAACCGUAACAUUUUUUUAUAUAAAAAUUGCUAAAAGAAAUUAUAAUUUACUUUUUGGACAAUGUCAACACAACAACAACGAAAAUAUUUUUCGCUGAGUUUGAUAGAUAAUGAUUUAUUUUGCAUACACCGACAAUGUAAAUCUUUAUGAGUUUAAUUAGUAUGAUUUAUCGGUGUAUGAUUAUUUUACACAUAAAUUCAAUAUUGUGCUGACACAUCAAUCAUUAAUUAGCGUCACAACACAUUAUUGAAUGUUUGUGUAAAAAAAUUGCACACUAACAAAGUAUACUAAUUAAUCCCAAUUAAACCACUUUUAUAAAUUAGUUCAUAAAAUAUCUCAAGUAAAAUAUAUGUGGUAUUAUUUACAUGUGUAUUUUUUUUACACCGUCAAUGCAUUCCAAUUAAACACAAAUGGAAAUGAUAUAAAUGAAAAAAAUUAAACAAUAAAUUUAUUACAAACAUUUAACUCGACAAUAUGCAUUUGACCUAUUACUUAUUACCUACAAACGAUAUCAUCACACAUCAACAACAAAAUCCUUUCUUUCAUUUUGUUUUGUUCCUUAUCCCAACUCUCUCUUAAUUAAAAAAAAUAAAAUAAUCAAGAGAGUGAGUGAGUAAGAUUAAGAGAGUUAGCGAGUUAAGAGAAGGAAGAAAAGAAAAAAAAUAUUGGAGUUGAUCCAAUUUACAAAACACAAACCCCUGCUAAUUUUGUCACACUGUUCGAUCAAUGUUGAUCUCAAUCGUUCGUUUAUGCUAUCAUAUAUGGGCAAAGGUUUUUGUACGAUUGAGAUUAGCAUUGAUCUCAAUCACCCGUUUGUGCUACCAUAUAUGGUCAAAUGUGUUUGAACGAUUGAGAUAAGUUUUGAUCACAAUCACUUGUCUGUUUUAUCAUAUACGAUCAAAAGUGUUUGAACAGUCGAAACCCGAGUUGAAUCAUCCUACCAAUAGAUAGGAUCUAGAUCCAAAUUGUUAAAGAAUCCUAGUAUUUUGAUAUGAAUAACACUUGCCACAUAUUUCUAACAAAUUUAACUAAAGUUGUUAACAACACUUAUUAUAACACGUUCUCUCUUAUUGAGUGAAAUACAUGGGUGGAUACCACUUCGCAAAUGAGUCUCACGAAAUAAAAAUAGAAAUCAAGAAAGCAUUUUUUGCCUCUUAAUAUCUGAAGGAUUUUUCUAUGAUGUGCAAAUUUGCACAUAAUAAGAAGUUGAAAAUAAAAAUUUUGUAUUGAAACUUAUGCAAAUUUACAUAUGUUAAGAAGUUUAUGAACUUUUGAAUAAUUAAUGAUUGUUUUCCAAGAAAAGGUUAUCACUAUUAAUUAUUUUAAUAUAUGCAAUGUUUCACAUGUUAGACAAACUCAUAUUUAAAAAACAGUAAAAACUAACUCCCAUUGAACCCCGGUCAAGUUUCCUCACCACACCAGUACAAACUCUGGUACGACAUUUCAUCCCAACUAAACAAAAACAAACACCGAAAUCCCAAUUUUACCCCCUAGUCACCACCAACUAAACACCAAACCAAAAAGUCAACAAGGACAAAAUCGUCAUCAACCACCAAAACCCCUCUCCCAAAAACCCAGUACCUCUUAAACAACAACAACAAAUAAUUUUACAUUUUAUUUUAAUUUUUCCUUUUUUCCGAAAUCACAAAUUUCAUUUCAUGCAAUUGUAUUGUAACAAAUUCUUCACACUCUCUCUCCCACUUCACACUUCACUCUUCCACUCUCUCUCAGCUUUUUUUCAAACGCGCUUUUCUCAACAACGAUCAAACCCUAGCUUACUCGGUAAAUCGAUUUCUUUGCUUAAUUUCUACUACAUUUUCGCUUCAUGCAAACUCGCUACUCUCUGUCGUUUUGCAUAAUCGAUUUUGCGUUUUGACAUUUCAUUUCCGUUGUUUGUUUUUCACUGUCUAGGGUUUUUCAGUUAUCCAACUUAAACGAACUUCUUCGUGUUUUCUUCAGCUAGGUGAUCGAAACCUACGGUUAGUUACUUCGAUUUUCUCGCUUAAUCGUUCUGCAUUUUCGAUUUCAUGCAAAGACGCUUUGUUCAAUGUUGUGUUUUGUUACAUAUUUUUCGUUUUUUUGUUCUGAUUUUCUGUUUCUUGUGGUUUUAGGGUUUUGUUUUCAGCUAGCUGAGACGCGUUGAAUUUUUCAGAAAUUAAUCUCUGAGGUAAGAAACAGGUUUAAAUGUUGUAUUACUAUUUUUAUUUUUUGAUUUUGUGUUUUUUUUUUGCUAAGUGUGUGUUUUUUUUUGGCUAAAUUUUUGUUUGACUUGUUCUAUUUUCGUUGAAAAUCAACAUUUUAUGGAAAAAUUUCAAGUUCAUGCACAUUAUUUUAGUAUUUUUUUAAAUUUUCUUGAAAACUUUACCUAUUUCUAGCUUUUGUCUAUUUUUUGUUUAUUUAUUUAUGUAUUUAUUUAUUUAUUUUAUUUUGUGAAUUCUUAGUGUAUGUUUGGAUGAGUUGUGAGUUUGGCGAAAUCUUAGUGGCAUUGUGAUUUUCUUAAAGCUACAAAGUGUAUGUUUGGUAUCUCGGCGGACCCACCAUCAUUUUGCAGAAGCUACAAAAUGUAGCUUUUGGAAAAUCACAAUUGGUCAUGGUGAUACCAAAACGUAGGCUUUGCCAAAAUUGCGGCGUGUCACUGUGUUUCUGCCAAACUCACUGUAAAUCCAAACAUGCACUUGGUAUGUUUGGUAUCAAGAUGUUCGGCAUCUGCACUGUGAUACGAAACAUGCAUGCACUAUCCCGUUGUAUUGGGGGUGAGGGUGAGUGGUGUUUUUUUUUCUUUUUCAUUUUGGUGAAAAUGAUUCAAUGUAGUUGGGGUUUUACCUUUUUCCAGCCAUUUAAGGAGUUGGGUUAAAUGAAGAUAAACAUGCAUGAUUUUUUGGGUUAGGGUGUGAGUCCGACUUUGUGUUUUCUAAGAAAUGGAUUAAUGAAUUUAUCUAUGCAAAACCAAUUAAGGGACAGUUUUGUUAUUCGGAGAUAAUCUCGUAUCUGUAAUGGUUUUCAAUGAUUAACAUUUCCUAGUUGAUGAUUAUAAAUGUGCUUUUACGUUGUCUGGUUUGAACACACAGUUUCUGUUUGGCAUAGUUUCGAUAUUAUUCAAGUGCUUUGAUAGUUAUGGGUUGAUGUAUGACUUCUGAACUGGUUGUUUCACCCAUGUGUUCUUGGGAUUAUGGCUAUUUGUCAAGGUGCUUGAUCCGAACAGAUUUGUAUUAGUUGAGCAAUAUGCGAUAUCUGGUCAUCCUUUCAGACAUUUGUAGUUGUCAAUUAUUAUGGAUAUUUUGGUUAGAUGUAUUUGUUUGUGCUGUCUUUGGAGAUUAUUUAUUUUUACUUGCUUAAUUAUGUGAAAGUAUUCUAUAAGAGAAACUAUUAGGAAAGAUUUGGAGAUUAAUGAGUUAGACCAAAAUAUGGUUUAUGAUGGAACAUUAUGGUGUAAUUUGAUCCAUGUAGCCGACCCCCACUUUGUGGGAUAAGCCUUGGUUGUUGUUGAAUUCUGUGAAAGUAUUUUUGAAUAAAAGUUAGAUUAACCAACCUUUCCAGUAAUUUUCUGUUCCAAUGAUUUUUUAAUUUUCUUUUCUGCCUUAAUUCUGUUGAAAUUAUUAAGGUUUACAAAUAUUGACUCAUGAUUAUGAGUUAUCUGUUGGCAGGUCUACAGAUUUACCAAGGUAUUCAUCAUGGAAGAUAAUGCCACUACAUCCCUUUUGGAUGGGAAGGUUGUUGGGAUCCGCUUCAGUAUGGCUACACGCCAUGAAAUUGUAAGCAUUAUGUAUUUCUUUACUUUUUUCAUGUUAAAUUGUCUGUCUAUCACUAUUUGUAAAUUGUAACUAGACUUUGUUAUGAUGUUGUGCUUGCUUUAUAUUUUCCUUUUUUUAGAGUACUGCAUCAAUUAGUGAUUCCCAAAUUAGCCAUGCGAGUCAACUGGCUAAUCCUUUCCUUGGGCUUCCACUUGAGUUUGGACGGUGUGAAUCUUGUGGCACUUCCGAAGCAGGAAAAUGCGAAGGUCUUUUAUUUGAUCAUUUCCUUUAUUGUCAUUCUGAUGGAAAAAUGUUAUAUUUCAAAAGAAUUGGGCUGAAUAAUUAUUACUUUUCAGGCCACUUUGGAUAUAUUGAACUUCCAGUUCCUAUUUAUCAUCCUAGCCAUGUUACUGAGUUGAAGAAAAUACUGAGCCUGGUCUGCUUAAGCUGCUUGCGAUUGAAGAAAACCAAGGUAUCACUGAAAAGGAAUGUGGACACAGUUCUUUAGCUUUUCAAUAACUUGUGAAUGAUUUUUAGUGGCAGACUUUUAUUUUCACUUUGACCUAUUUGUUUAUUUUAUCUAAAUUAAAAGACUCAACAAAGCUAUUUGCCGUUGUUAUAUUGUCCUUUUUUUAAUGUUGUCUCUUUUGUCAUAAUUUUGAACCACACAAAUAUCUUUUGUGCUUCACACCAGAAAAAACCUUUUGGGUAUGAGUGGGAGUAUUGGGAUGAACUCAUUUUUUGUUUGUUUGAAGUUUUACAUAAUUUCAUGCGAAUCCCAUUCUGCAAACCACAACUAAGUGGUCUCAUUUUUUUAACUGUCAAACUCAUUCUUAUACUCCAGUCAUUGUGGAAAUAAAAAAUUGUUAUUAUUAUCCAAAAAAUUGUUAUAAAUGAGUGUACAUGUGGGACUGUUCCUUUGUUGUCAAGAGAGGCUGUUAGUGCUGCUACCUUGACAGCUUGUAGCAGCCAGUGGCUGCCCCCACACGCAGUGUGGCGUCUCAGAAUAGAGGAGCGGUCUCAUUCAGGGAAUAAUUUCACACUGCGUUGUGCGGUUUUCAUGGCGCUAUUGAGUGCGAUGGGUUUGCAACGAUGAAAACCCUAAAACACCUUAAAAUUUGAGCUUUUACAUGGACUUUUUCAGGUUUAUGCUAUGCGUAUGAAAAACUUAUUCUUCUGUCUUUUGCGAACCCAUCUCCUUCCCUGUUUUGUGAACCUAUCUCCUUCGUUUUUCUGUGUUUUGCAAUAUAAAGCUGUGACUUUAUCAAUUCAGAUCCACUAGGAAAGGUCACAUUUAAAUUUAUAACAAUUUUUUUUUCAUAUUACAUGGACCAAACAGGGUAAACAAGGUUUGGUUUGUUGUCCUAAAUUGUAUAGUAAUUCCUGCUUUCAUGGACUUCAUUAGAUUUUGAUACAAGAAGGAUACAACCUUCUUAAUCCAUUGUGUUUGAUCUUACUGGCUGUAAGAGAAGGCAUUUUCUCUGUAAUAGGUGCACUAAUUUUUAUUCACUGCACUACUCUAUUUGCCGUUGUUAGUUUGUGCCAACUGGUAUUGCGGUUACUGCCAGCUAUUUUACAGCUGUCAGAUAACUUUCUCUUGAGCAGUUGAGACAGCCUUAGUUUGUUGAACUAGACUUUGCAUUGAUAAAUAGAUUGCUGUGGCAGAGGUAGAUUCAGUUUUAUCAUUUUCAGAAUAUUCAGUUUUCUCUCAAACUCUUUCUCUGAUACUGGCUCACAAUCUUUCAGGUACCUUCUUCAAGCAGUGGCUUGGCACAGAGAUUAUUAUCUCCUUGCUGUGAGGUUAGUAUGAACCAAUCAUAUGAUUUGCUUUUAUUUGAUUAAGUUUUAAUUUUAAAAUGAUUAUAUUUUAAAAUUAUGUCAUGUGUUGAGUCUGAAGGAUAUUUAGAGGGUCAUACUAAGUGCCCCAAGGGCACUAGUUAAGAAAUCAAUAAGUAGAAAUUUUGCAUUGGAAAUAACAAUUUUUAAACUUGAAAAAGGUUGAAUUCACCAUUUUCCAACACUAUUUCUAUCCGUUUCCUUAACAAGUGCCCCUAGGGUAUACUUUAGGAUUUACCAUAUUUAGGUAGCAUCUGAGAAAUGUGAAAUAAUAAUAAUAAUGUUGGCACUUGCAAAUUUGUCAUGUAUAUAGUUGAUCAGGGAACCAUUUGAUCACAAUUGCAACCACUACUAGAAUCAUCAGCUUUUCCGAUAAGGGCAAUGAUUUAUAAUACUGUCUAGAAACACCAGUGGUGUCAUCAUAAAUGUUGAAGAAAUGCUGAGAAGUAUGAACUAUGUUUAACAAUAUUUGAGCAGGUCUAAACAUGUAUUUUGGCCAACAAUCACCAGAACUGUUGGUAACAUAUUUAAAAUUGCCAAGAUAGGAGCCUGCAUACAUAUUGGUGGUAUUUACAGUUUUGUGAUAUCACGUUUGGGUGUUUAACCCAUCACAAUCAUAUUUAGGAUCUUGAUUUUGACUUCCCAGCCAAUUUUUUUUUGGCACAAGAUUGGCCAUUUGCAUCCCAGUGAUGAUUUGUUUCCUUUACUCUAGUUUAUUAAGGUACCAUGUAUUGAAAAUUUAAACAAAUUUUGAGGUGCUUUGUUUUUUUCAUUGGCUUGUUUGCUUAAUUGUGGUUUAUUUUCUUUUUUGCUUUCUAUUUUUGGUGCCGAAUUUAAUAUUCUAUUUGUUCUUACCCAUUUCUUGGCUAAAUCUGUGUUUUCUAUUAUCAUACCUUGUUAUAGAACGGAACUUGGUAUUUUCAUAUUAGUGUCCAAGGUUCAUGAUAGUUAUAUUUUCCUUUUAGGAUGUUAAUGCUGCACAAGUUUCUAUUCGGGAGGUCAAAACAGCUGAUGGGGCUUGUUACUUGGCACUAAAGGUGUCAAAGUCAAAGAUGCAUGACGGAUUUUGGACCUUUCUAGAAAAAUAUGGCUAUCGCUAUGGGGGAGAUCAUACUCGAGCUUUGCUUCCUUGUGAGGUGUGGUUUCUACCGGUUUUCAUUGUUAUUUUGUUGCUUGAUAUAUGCAUAAUAUUGCUAAAGUUACUUUAUGUUUGCAAUUCCCUUUUUUUCUGGCUUUUAUAUGAUUAAUUUAUUAUUUUUGUAUUUUUUUCUUUAUUGCUUAAUUACUGUUUAUGUUCUUUAUAAUUGAAGCAAUCCAUAUAUAGGUAUCUUUCAUUGUUUUAUGAUAGUGGCAUUUUUUUGUUUAUCAUCUACUUGGGAGUUGGAUAUUUUUUUCUCUUUGGAAUUUCAAGGAUAUCUUUAGCAGACCCCAGUAAUUGAUCAUCCUCUUUAUUCGGAAAUGUUUUAGUUAGCGUGGGAGAUUUGGUAAGAUAUAAAUAAUAAUAGGAGGAAAGUAGCAGUGGUAUUUGAAUGAUUGGGAGGUACAACCUAUCCUGGAGCUUUGGGAGUCUUGUAUCUAUAUUCUAAUGUUCUUCAGCUGUCCUUUUGAUUCUGAGACCAUAUUCGUUCAGUUUCCGGGAGAAGAGUGAUAGGUGCCACAAAUCGGAAGGGUGAACUUGAAAUGUACUGAUAAUGAAUUAUGUCUGUCAGAGAUAUAAGCCACUGUUACAGUAUUACAAUCUCAGAAAAUUAAGCCAGAAAUUUAAAUGAAGAAAUGUAAGGAAUUUUGUGUGAAUUCUCUGAAUCUCAAGGAUGAAUUCCUCCGGAUUUACAGCUGUUACUCUAAUAAUUACUCUAAUAAUAUCUAAUAAAGUUAAUAUCUGUUAUAUCUGCUUUUUAUUUUUUCGAGUCAAGUUUCUGUCCAUGUCCUAUAGAUGAUUUGUAUUUUCUUAUAUUUCCCGGGAAGAGGAAUGAUAUUAAAAAACUCUCAAACUAAUAUUUUUUUUAUUGUUUCAUUCCCUAAUAGUCAACCCAUUCUUUUUAGAAGGAUCAAUUUAUGAGGCAUUCAAAUGGACUUUUUUUUAAAUUAAUCAAUUAUAGAAUGUUAGAGCCUUUGCCAGCAUCCUCUUCCCAUGAAUGUCAAAAUGCUCCUUUCGGUUCACUCUGCUUUAUAGGGGCAUAUAAUUAUUUCUUGACCUUAUAUUCUGAGCCUAUGACACUGUUGGAAUUCAUAUUUGCUUUUUCUGUAUGAUUGAUAUUUCUACUCAGUGAAUCUGUUGACUGUAACAUGGGGUUACAGUUGAUACUUUCAGAUUAUUUAUUAUAUGCUUAUGUUUUUACGUUCCGGUUGAAACCUGUCAUUAGAUUUUGAUUUAUAGUUUAUAUGUCAAAUGUCUACCAGGCAAUGGAAAUUAUCAAGAGACUUCCUCAAGAAACAAAGAAGAAACUUGCUGGAAAGGGAUAUUUUCCUCAAGAUGGAUAUAUUUUAAAAUACCUUCCUGUACCACCAAAUUGCCUGUCUGUGCCAGUAGUUUCAGAUGGUGUCAGUAUCAUGUCUUCGGUGAGGAUAUGAUAAUGUUAUUUUUUGCUUGAUUAUGAAAUUAUUCUGUUGUCGUUCAGAAAGUUUAUGUAUCUCUGAAAUUGCAGGAUCCGGCCUUGACAAUUCUCAGAAAAUUGCUUAGGAAGGUUGAAGUCAUCAGAAGUUCAAGAUCUGGUGAACCAAACUUUGAGUCUCAUCAAGUGGAAGCCAACGACUUGCAAUCCGUGGUCGAUCAGUAUCUUCAAAUCAGGGGAACUUCUAAGGCCGCACGUGAUAUUGAAACACACUACGGGGUUAACAAAGAGCUGAAUGAUUCCUCAACAAAAGCGUGGUUGGAAAAAAUGAGGACGUUGUUUAUCAGAAAGGGUUCCGGGUUUUCUUCCCGGAAUGUGAUCACUGGAGAUGGGUAUAAGAAAAUAAAUGAAGUUGGAAUUCCGCUUGAGGUUGCCCAAAGGAUCACAUUUGAGGAAAGAGUCAGCAUUCAUAACAUCCACUAUUUACAGAAGUUGGUGGAUGAAAACUUGUGCUUGACAUACAAGGAAGGUAUGUCAACCUACUCACUGAGGGAGGGCUCAAAGGGGCACACUUAUCUUAAACCUGGUCAGAUAGUGCACCGGAGGAUUAUGGACGGGGAUACUGUUUUCAUAAACAGACCGCCAACCACCCACAAGCACUCCUUGCAAGCACUUGUGGUAUACAUCCAUGAUGACCACACUGUCAAAAUUAAUCCACUAAUAUGUGGACCACUAGGGGCGGAUUUUGAUGGUGACUGUGUCCAUUUGUUUUAUCCCCAGUCACUCGCUGCUAAAGCCGAGGUUUUGGAGCUUUUCUCUGUAGAGAAACAACUUCUCAGCUCUCAUAGUGGUAAUCUUAACCUUCAGUUAUCCGCAGAUUCAUUAUUGUCACUCAAGAUGCUCGUCAAGAGUUGUUUUUUGGAUAGAGUAGCAGCAAAUCAAAUGGCAAUGUUUCUUUUACUGCCUUUGCCAAUGCCUGCUUUACUCAAGGCCACUACCGGUGAUUCUUAUUGGACAUCUAUACAGAUUUUGCAGUGUGCUUUGCCUUUCUCGUUUGAUUGUACUGGAGGACGAUACUUGAUCAGGCAGAGGGAAAUCUUAGAAUUUGAUUUUACCAGAGAUAUUUUACCUUCAAUUAUAAAUGAAAUAGCUGCCUCAAUUUUUUUUAGUAAGGGUCCUCAGGAGGCACUCAAUUUCUUUGAUGUGAUACAACCCUUUCUGAUGGAAAAUAUAUUUGCCCAUGGAUUUAGUGUGGGAUUACAAGACUUUUCAAUAUCCAGGGCAGUGAAAAGGGUUAUAAAUAGGAGCAUUGGGAAAGUUUCACCUUUGUUGCGUCAGCUGAGGGGAAUGUACAAAGAACUGGUGGCUCAACAAUUGGAGAAAGUCAUUCAAGAUAUUGAACUUCCGGUUAUAAAUUUUGCUUUGAAGUCAACCAAACUUGGAGAUUUGAUUGACUCAAAGAGUAAGUCGGCUGUUGACAAGGUAAUUCAACAAAUUGGCUUUUUAGGCCAACAACUCUUUGAGAGAGGAAAGUUUUAUUCCAAGGGAUUGGUUGAGGAUGUAGCUUCUCAUUUUCAAUUGAAGUGUUUCUAUGACAAGGAUGAUUAUCCCUCUGCUGAGUUUGGUUUGCUCAAAGGAUGCUUCUUUCAUGGUUUAGAUCCAUAUGAAGAGUUGGUGCAUUCCAUUGCAACGAGAGAAAUAAUUGACCGCUCUUCUAGAGGAUUAUCUGAACCAGGCACACUAUUCAAGAACUUGAUGGCCAUUCUCCGUGAUGUUGUUAUUUGCUAUGAUGGAACUGUGAGGAAUGUAUGUAGUAAUUCCAUCAUCCAGUUUGAAUAUGGCAUACAAUCUGGAGAUGCAGCCCAGCACUUAUUCCCUGCUGGUGAGCCUGUAGGUGUCUUAGCUGCAACUUCCAUGUCAAACCCUGCUUAUAAAGCAGUCCUUGAUGCUAGUCCAAGCAGCAAUUCUUCCUGGGGGUUUAUGAAGGUAAUAAUUUCUUAGUGAAUAGUGGACAUCUGUUUCUCGUAUUUCAGUAAUGAUUUUUUUUUGAGUUAUUUAUUUACACAUUUUAUCUUCAGGAAAUACUCCUUUGCAAGGUGAACUUCAGGAAUGAACCAAAUGACCGUCGUGUAAUUUUAUAUUUAAAUGAUUGUGAUUGUGGGAGGAAUUAUUGUCGUGAAAAUGCUGCAUAUUUGGUUCAAAAUCAAUUGAGAAAAGUAAGCCUCAAGGAUGCCGCACUAGAUUUCAUUGUUGAGUAAGUUUUCUGUCUUGUUUUUUUUUUUUUGUUGUUGCUAUGUUUAGCAUAUAUUUUUUAAUUGAUAGAAAUUACGUGUUGCGAGUAAGUGCUCUGUUACCAGUGUUAGAACCAGUAACACUAGUGCAGUAAUAUUUUGUAGUGAUUGAUCAUGUUUUAUUGAGUUAACAGAAAAGUUACAAAUGAUCACUGGUUGUUCAAGAGCCUUCCCUAUCCCUAAUAACUGCCAUACUGAAACAAAUAGUCGGAUACCCAAACAUCCAUUUCCCUUCUCAGUUUAAUUAGACACACAGAUGGGCAGUUACAACAAAAGACAAACUGGCAUAAACAGUUACAGACAUAAACAAUCACAAAUCUAGGCAGUUAUAGACCAAUGAGAUUGGACCAGCAUUGAUGUUUUUUUAUAACUUUAUGCCUCAUGAGUUUGCUUAAUUAGAGGCUUGUUGCUAACAUGGAUCAACCAUGGUUAAUUGGUUACUUUGUAGCUUAAAGCCUGAUUUGUCUAUAUCAAUUUUGUCAAUUCACCUUAUGCUCUGUUAACAUUCGAUUUUGGGGUUGAGGUCUGGGCUUCAUCUAAUACCUUCUCCAAGUUUUGUUUGAUUACAUUUGUGUCGACAGGCUAGAAAGAACGUUUAUGAUGAACCAUUUUCUGGGCCAAGGACUAGCUUUAAAAGGCUAAGCUUUUAAAUGGAUGGGGGUCCAUGAAUGGUUUUGUCUUUGUAAUAUGUUCCUUUGAGCAAAGUGCUAUUUAGGUUUGAAGCAUGUGUGACAUAUCCUCUUAGUUUAUGCUGAUAUGAUCCCUUAUAUGUUGUUUUCUGAUAUACUUGCCAUGUACUCUGUAUUUCGUUUGGGGUAAAACAUUUAAUCUUUGUUAAUUGAAGUAGUUAUAUUUUAUUUUUUUGUUAUUUUCAAAGUUGUAUUUAUAUUCAAUUUUAUUUAUUUACUUGCUAUGUACUCCGUAUUUCGUUGGGGGUAAAACAUUUAAUCUGUGUUAAUUGAAGUAGUUGUUAUAUUUUUUUUGUUGUUGUUUUGAAAGUUGUAUUUAUAUCAAUUUUAUUUAUUUGGGACAUGUGUCUCAUCUGCAGAUACCAGCAGCAGCGAAGACGCAGAGAUGGUACUGAAGAUGCAGGCCUUGUUUGUCACAUUCGUCUUAAAGAGGUUAUCAAUUUUUUUAAUACAUGUUUAGGAUUUGAUGCAGGCAUGUUCCUAUAUCAUGCAGCUAGCACGAUUUUAAAAUUUUAUAAUCCGUCUCUCUAGAAUAUUUUAAAUCCUCUUGCAUGUUUUGUUUUGUUUUCAUUAUCAGAUAUGCUGUGGGUUUGGAAAGCGCUUUACUAUUCCUAAUUUUUUUUUGUCUUCUUUUGUUUUUAGGAGUGUUAUAAUGUUAGGUCUGGCCACAUUUGAUAUCGUACUGGUUUAAUGUUAGGUCUAAACCUACUCUAACCUCUGUUUUGCUGGAUUUUGAGAUAACUUGCCUGUUUGGGUUUAUUAACCGUGUUUUUUUUUGUUUUUGUUUUUCUUUUCAUUUUUUCUUUAUAAUUGUUAGCAUUGAGUUAUUAAUAUUUUGAAGAUCUGAAAUUGAUAAGGAGAUCGAUGGAUAUAAAAAGGGAUCUUUAUAGUGAAUGUCGGGUAAUAAAAUGUUAACAAGUUUAUUAUAUUUGAGAUAUGAGAAUGUUGUGGAAGAUGAUUGGAAAUACAAAACAAAGAUAAGAUUAAGAACAAUUCGUGUAAGAUAGUUCUGUAAUGUUAGAAGUCGAACAACACAGGCUCCGUGACCUAAACUGGUCAAUUAGAAACUAGCUUUAUAUUGAAAGGACUUGUUGUUGACCUCAGUAAACCUUGGGGGUGAAAACCACUGGUAAAGAUAUUACUCUGUUGGAUUUGCUGAAAGUAUAAUUUUUAUAGAGCCUAAUAGUGACUUUGACGGUUUUAUAGGAAAACUGUCGAGUUGUACUUGUAUGUUUUGUGCUAGAUUGGUUGUAAAUUCUAUGACAAUAAGUUGUUCAGGCGGGCCACAUAUGCUGUUACUGGUAUGAACUGAGUUUAAUAACAUUGGUUGAUAGUGAAGGUUCAAAACUAUAUGUUAGUGAUACUGAGAAGUAAAUACAACAAAAAAUUAUAAGAAGGUUUGAUUGUAUUAAAUUAAAAUAGACUAAAUUAUAAUACAUUGAAUUUUUUAUUCUUUCAUUUGAGACGAGUGUAUUUUUAUCCUAAUUUAAAUGUCAUUAUUGUGUUAAAAUGCUUUUGGUUAUUGAUUUAUCAUUUUGAGCAGGUGAAGUUAGAGGAAUUGAAGAUCAAUAUGACUGAAGUUUACCAAAAAUGCCAAGAGAAACUUAAUUCCUUUAGUCGGAAGAAGAAACUUUCCCCAUUUUUUAAGAGAACUGAAUUAAUUUUCAGGUUAAAUUUUAGUUCUGCCAUAUACAUUUUUGAUAUACUGCUAUAAAGUCUUAAUUUUCUUGCUUACUUGAAGUAAUUAAUUGCUCUGGAUUUGAUUCUUAAUUGUAGUCAUAGGAGCUCAUUGAUGUUCCUUUUAGUAUCAAAAAACCAAUCAGGCAUAAAUUGUAGUCUGGGGAGAUUUUUAAUGUGACAAGAUGUUCUUUGUUACUUGUUUGGCUUUCAAUUUUGUUCUCCUUUUUGUCGAACAUCUUUUUCUUAUGGUUAACUUUAUUAUUUUCUACAAAAAUAAGUUGUAGAAUAUUGUAAAACAAAUAUUGAUAUGGAUUGUCUUUUGUAGAAUUUAUAUAUGGUGUUCUAGUCUUGCAUUUUUCAGAGGGUUUUUCAUUCCAUAAUAGAAAUAGAAGCUGUUACAAAAAAAUGAAUGCAAGUUUGACUAAUAGAAAUAGAAGCUUUGUUACAAAUAAAUGAAUGCAAGUUCAUGAUAAGUUGAUUAUUGAAGUGCUCAACCUUAUUGUUUCUUGUCCAGUCCUUGAUUAUCAUGUUGUACCUUCUCCAUUCCUUGUAAAAACUAUGGUUUCUCUCUCUCUCUCUCUCUGUGUGUGUGUGUGUGAGAGAGAGAGAGAGGCAAUGCACAAUAGAAUCUUCUCUGGGUUUCUAAUAUCCAUUCCUUGCUUUCUUUCCUACGUGUGAGCUUCUUGUUCCAAUGAACAAAGCAACAUGGUUUUUUCCCCCACUUUUGGGGUUGGUUAAAAGCACCAAAAAACACAUAUUAUAUUGCCUCCCAAAAACAAGAGGAAAACAAAGAAAGAUAAAAGCUGAUGUAUGCAGAGUGCUUUUCUUUAAACAUUGAUCACAUGUUUUUCUUCUGACAAUUGCAAGUUACGUUAGUCUUUAUUUAUUUUUGUCUCUGUUAGCAUGCAGUUUGUUUGCAGUUUAAAACUUACCGUCUUGUCUAUUUUUCCUUCUUUGCAGUGAGUUUUGCUCUGCUCCUUGUGUAACAUUCCUUUGGCCGGAUGGUGUUGAUUUAGACCAAACGACUAAAGUCCUGGCUGACAUGAUCUGCCCAGUUCUGUUAGAAACAAUCAUACAAGGUAUUUUCCUUUAAACUCAUUUUUCAAUGAACUAUUUAUCUGGUAUUGUUAAAUCGAUACAUGGGGUUUAGAUAGGGAAGGAUAAAAAGGACAUUUUAGGUAAUGCUGGAUUUAAUUAAUAUUUUCUUGUUAUAUCUGGUAGAAACCGUUAAUGGAAAGGAAAAAAAUGGAAAAAACUGCACUUGUAUGAAGCAUGGACACCUCUAGCACUAGGUGUGUCGUGGUGUCCGACACUCCUUUGACACUCAUGCGACACAUGUUGGAUAACUGAGACAAGUGUCCUAACCAAAAUUGUUUUUCCAUUUGCUUCGACACUCCUUGAACCGGUGUCUGACAGCUAUAUAACACUCAUACGAGAUGUGUUUUUAAUCUUGCUCAAUUUGUCAAACUAACUUUUUGAAACUCACCCUUGUUGUCUCCCCUAUUGGAGUAGGUUGUGAUGCUCCACUUUAUCAAUGCAAUCCAAUAUUUGAUUCACAAUAAUCUCUGUACUGUUCAAACGUUACUCUAUUAAUGCUUGUUGCACGAUAUCUCCACCUUGCAUUGAGUUCUUGCACACUCUACGUUUCUGUUUUUUGUCACAGCAUGAAGCUGGUUCUCAUAUUGAAACCAUCUCUGUUAUAAGUUUUAUUUAUCAAAUAGUAUUUGAACAAGAGAUCAAAAGACAUAGCAAGAAAAUGCAGGGAAGUGAAAAGUAAAUGCCUUAUAAUCUGUAUUGCAAUAUCCCUCGUGUUAGGGUAACCCGAGGUACUAGCGAUUGAGGGUAACUCAAGAGUUUCUUAAGCUCUCCUGAGUCUCAAUAACAAAAUGACUCCCUUCCCAUUCCUUUUAUUUAUAUGCAUCCUGACCCACGACUCUAACAUUUCUUAACUAACUAACUACUUGGAUAACAAAUUAGUGAGGUGGUAUUUUCUUUGCCAUGUCUAUUUCAUAUUCUUUUUAAGAUGUAAAUUGGUUCCAACUUUCUUUGUAGUCCAUAUUUGUUGCAAUUACAUUUGUUGUUGGUUUGAGCAUUUAUUGCACUUGUAAUCAUACAUACAUAUACAUAUUUCUUACAUAUAUUUUUGUCAUAAACAGGAGACCCUCGUAUCAGUUCCGCAAGUAUAAUUUGGGUUAAUCCUGGCACGAACACAUGGGUUCGUAACCCGUCCAAAUCUUCUAAUGGUGAAUUAGCACUGGACGUCAUUCUUGAGAAAGAAGCUGUUAAACAAAGUGGCGAUGCUUGGAGGAUUGUACUCGAUUCCUGCCUUCCUGUUCUUCAUUUGAUUGAUACUAGACGUUCUAUCCCUUAUGCUAUUAAGCAAAUUCAGGAAUUACUGGGCAUUGCAUGCACUUUUGAUCAAGCGAUUCAGGUAAACUUCUUAAUAAUAUAUUUUACAUAAUGUUAAAAGUAUGAGCUGUCUGCUUUUUUUUUCUUGUGAACACGUACCUUUAGUAAACAUAAAGGUGCUUUGCUUUCACUUUCAAAUCUUCAUUGAAAAUCAGUUACAUGUGAUUUCAUGUCUUUUCUUUAUUAUCGAAGCUGCUUAUUUUUUCAUUGAUCACUAUGUGAAAGUGCAUUUUCCCUCCCUUUACUGUGUGAGUAGGAAUCAGGCUUUUGGUGACAUAUAGUUGUUGGCAUGUGUUGUCAUUUUAUAAUUUAAAAAGCUUAGGCAAUCCUCAUCUUAUAAGCUGAUUUUCUGGAGUUUAAUUUGGCCCAUAUCCUAAAAACUGAGUUUUCUGAUUUUUGGAUGCAAAAAAGUUGACAAACUAGGAAGCCAAGAUUUAUGGCAAUAUGCAGUGUUUGCAUUCCUCUGGUUUGUGCAUUUGGAGAAUCAUGCUUAGAUCUUUAUGUAGGUUUGUUAUCCAUUUAUGCUGAGAGACUGGAAUUUUAGAAAGACUCGUUGCAUGCAUAGUUCUUUUCUUCGCCGUUCUUUUGGUUGUAUGCUGCCUUUUGUCUGUUUUGGUGCUUUCCUCUUGUCUCUUGUGAUAUUUUUCGACCAAAAAAACUAUGGCUAUGAUUUUGUCAGCUAUUGAGCUUAGGUUUAUGAAAGAGCCUUGAUCUUAGUCUACUAGUUAGUUGUAGCCUCAACAUUAGGGGUUUAUGUUAUCUAAUUUAUCCUUUUGUGCUGUGUGCAGCGUCUUGCAGCAUCAGUUAGAAUGGUGGCAAAAGGCGUUCUCAGAGAGCAUCUCAUUCUCUUAGCAAGUAGUAUGACUUGUGGUGGAAAUUUGGUUGGUUUUAAUACAGGUGGUUAUAAAACACUGGCUCGUCAAUUAGACAUUCAAGUACCAUUCACCGAUGCAACACUCUUUGUAAGUGCUUUGGUAAUUUCUAAAUUACAAGAUGUAUUUUGUUAUUAUUUUUCUUACUUUGUGAAUGUGAUCAUGCAGACUCCUCGAAAAUGCUUUGAAAGAGCUGCUGAGAAACACCACUCAGACUCUUUGUCAAGCAUUGUUGCCUCUUGUUCCUGGGGUAAGCACGUGGCGGUUGGUACAGGAUCAAAAUUUGAUAUUGUAUGGGAUCCGAAAGAGGUAUUUGAUUAAACUCAGAUUUAAUGGUGGACUUCAAUAUGUCUAUAGUUGGAGUUCUGUGAACAUUGUUUUAAAUUUCAAUGUUGGAUUUUUCCUUUGCAGAUAAAAACAAAUGAAAUUGAAGGGAUGAAUGUUUACAAAUUUCUCAAUAUGGUCAAAGGCCUUGCCAACGGGGAAGAAGAAACCAAUGCUUGUUUGGGUGAGGACAUCGAUGAUCUGUUUGACGAUGAAAAUGGGGACUUUGACAUGUCCCCACAGCAUGCCUCUGGAUUUGAUGCUGUCUUUGAUGAGACUUUUGAACUUCCGAAUGGCUCAACAUCAAAUGGUUGGGAUUCAAAUAAAGACCAGAUUGAUCAGCCCAAUACAAACUCAAAUGAUUGGUCUGGUUGGGGACCAAAUAAAUCUGACUUACAAGUUGAUGUUAUCCAAGAAGACUCUUCUAAGUCUAGUGCUUGGGGGGCUGCAACAAAUCAAAAGAGUGACCAGUCUGCUUCUGCUUGGGGUAAAGCUGUGGUGCAAGAAGACUCUUCAAAGUCCGGUGCUUGGGGGACUGCCACAAAUCAAAAUAGUCAGCAGCCUUCUUGGGGGGCUGCAACAAAUCAAAAGAGUGACCAGUCUGCUUCUGCUUGGGGUAAAGCUGUGGUGCAAGAAGACUCUUCAAAGUCCGGUGCUUGGGGGAAUGCGAAAUCUGUGGUACAAGAAGACUCUUCAAAGUCUGGUGCUCCGGCCAACACAAAUCAUAGUAGUGAUCAGUCCUGUUGGGGACAAAUAACUGGUGGAGAGGAAAGAGCCCAAGGAGAAUCUGGUGGCACUAAAAAAUGGAAAGCUGAUGUUAGCCAAGAAGACUCGACAAACUCAGGUGGUUGGAAAGCUUGGGGAAGCAGUAAACCUGAAGUACAUGAGGGUGAGUCUACAAAAGUACAAGAUUCUUGGAACUCUCAGAAAUGGAAAGCUGGAGAGGAUGUUACCCAAAAAGACUCUCAGAAGUCUAGUGCUUGGGGUGCAACAAAACUGAAGUCAAAUGAUAUCCAAGAAGACUCGACAAACUCAGGUGGUUGGAAAGCUUGGGGAAGCAGUAAACCUGAAGUACAUGAGGGUGAGUCUACAAAAGUACAAGAUUCUUGGAACUCUCAGAAAUGGAAAGCUGCAGAGGAUGUUAGCCAAAAAGACUCGCAGAAGUCUAGUGCUUGGGGUGCAACAAAACCGAAGUCAAAUGAUAAUAGGUCCUCGU